UUUUUUUUUGUGAAAAAGGAGGAUAAACCCCCGGCCUCUGCAUCUGAACGAUGCAUACGGCCAUCUUAUUAAUUAUUCACGGAGAUCAUACAAAGUAAUACAUCAGUGAGUCUGAAGCCACCAUCUAGGCAACACCUGUUGCUACUCCUAUCCCGUUGAUGAAGGUGUGUCGAAUAUUCGGGCCUAAUACCAAACGGACAUCGCACCAAACCCUAACAUCUAAAGCCGGAUGCCCCAGCCCAGCCACAUGCUAGGACUGGGUCCCAUACCGGACCAACGCACUCUCAGAGGCUGCCGCUGCCAUCUUCCACCAGUCCAUCUCCAGAGCAGCAACUGACCCAUCGACCUUGCCUGGCAUGCCGUCGACGCCACCAUGACGCCAGACAACUCCACCAUCCUGCACGAAUCCGUCCACACGCGCCCGUCGCCGAACCUCCGCAGCACCAUGCCAUCGGGAUCCGCCGUCGGCCUUACGGUGGAUGAAACACCGCUCUUCCACUUGUCCCGUCCAACUAGCACUUGCUCCAAAACGAUGCCCUCAGGAGGGACAACGGCAUCAAAGGUACCAUCAUCAUCUGAUCCGGUAGAUCCAGAUCUAUGGUUUCCCCCGGAGCAUCACGAGUGGGGUGCCACGACCUGCAACAACGAUGCCUCGAGAAGGGAACGACGUCAUAGACGCCGCCAUCGUCUGCCAUGACCGAAGUCGACGUGAUUUUCACCGAAAGUCGCAUCCCCCCAACCUCGCAGCUAGCUGGAACCGAACGGAGCCUCGUCGUGGAGACGAGGGCCGUCGUCGGCACGCCGGCAGGGAGCCUCUAGCCGCCCCUCACCGGUCCUCCUCGCGCCACCGGCCGGCCAAGGCCGUACCGAGACGGAUCUGGACAGGAUGCCAGAUCCGCAGCCAUCGGAGCCACCCAUGUGCCCGCGGCCGCCACACCGCCGGACAUGUAGGUUCCCAUCGCCACGGCGUGGCAGGGGCGUCGCCCCUGACUGCCGCCCCCGGCCUCCCCGCGUGAGACGCCGCCUCCGUCUCAUUGGAUCUGCCCGCGGCAACCACCCACCCUGGAUCAUGCAGGGCCCGCUGAGGGAGUCCUGGACUAAGGGGUCCUCGGGCGUCCGGCCUGUUAUUCAUUGGGCCGGACUGAUGGGCCGUGAAGAUGUGAAGGCCGAAGACUAUACCCGUGUCCGGAUUGGACUCUCCUUGGCGUGGAAGGCAAGCUAGGCGACCAACUAUGAAGAUUCCUUCUUAUGUAACCGACCCCAUGUAACCCUAGAUAUCUCCGGUGUCUAUAUAAACCGGAGAGCGUAGUCCGGAUAAGAGGAUACUCAUUUACCAUAUGCACAUAGGCUAGACUUCUAGGGUUUAGCCAUUACGAUCUCGUGGUAGAUCAACUCUUGUAACACUCAUAUUCAUCAAGAUCAAUCAAGCAGGAAGUAGGGUAUUACCUCCAUAGAGAGGGCUCCAACCUGGGUAAACAUCGUGUCCCCCGUCUCCUGUUACCAUCGAUCCUAGACGCACAGUUCGGGACCCCCUACCCGAGAUCCGCCGGUUUUGACACCGACACCCGCCGCCACCGCGGCCCUUGCCGGCGGCAGCGGCGGCUGUGGAUGGAGGAGCAGGGAGGGGCUGGCGGCGCGGGAUCAGGGGCCCUGGUGCCGCCCAAGGGGAGGCGACGCGAGGGGGAGGGGAGUCGUCGGGGUGAGGUGGCGGUGCUAGAUCACGAUCCCUUCUAGCCUCUUUUUCACAGUAGUGUAGUGUGAAAAAACGUUUUACAUUAUGGGACGAAGGGAGUAUCAAUCUAUUCAUCAACUAUCAUGGGAGUACAUAGCCUUAUACAAUGCCAAGUCCUUAGUGAAAUAAAUUCGUUUUCCUUUAAGCAUAUCUACUUAUUUGUAGAGGGUAUACGCUUAUUUGCAAAGGCAUCUAUGGAUUUGAUCAUAUUGUGCUCGAGAGCGAUACCCGGGUUGUUGUUAACUUAUGCAACUUUGCAUUUCCUAGGAGGUAAUUAAAGGAGCUUUGCGAGAGCUGUACUUAUGUCAAUAAUUGAGAGGCCAACGUGGUUGCUCAACGUUGGGCCCAUCAAGCUAGUGAGUUGAGGAGAAGGUGUCUAUGGAUUAACUGUAUUUCCUCCUUCAUCCAAGAUUGUAUUUCUUCAUUUUCAAAAAGAUUGUAUUUCUCGUGAUUGUUACCAACAUGGUUAAGCAAUAAAGCUCCUAACUUGCAAAAAGAAAAGACACCUACGUAAUCAGAGGACAUAUAAAACAAGCAGCGUAGAGUGACAAGAGCCAACUGCCCAAGGAUCUAGCUGGUCUUGAACGCUGGGAAGAGACAAGGACAUUGUCACUAGACAUGCAUUCAGCAUAGCAACAAAUCUAAUUUUCCACUAGCCUCGUGAUGUUUUAUGCUCAAUUAUGUUAACAUUAAGCACAACCAGCAACAAAGGCUGGUACUCUAGGACAAGGACGAUUACAUGUUUAAAAAAAUGAAACUUCAGAGCAAAGACUAGUUUGCGUUGUACUCCCUCUGUAAAGAAAUAUAAGAGCGUUUAGAUCACUAAUUUCUUUACGGAGGGAGUAACUUGCAAGUGUGUUGAUGGAUUCGAUAUAUUCAUGAGCCUUCAUAUACACACUCACAACGAGGUGCGAAGGAUUCGUAUGGCGAACACGACAUCUCAGGGAAAACUGAACGGACACAUCUCCUCCAUUCAAACGCAGAGUUCAGACGGCGAAUGCUCCAUGUGUAGAAGAGGAAGCAGGCAAGACCUUCUGCUCUUAGUCCACCUGCUGCUGUUUUUCCAGUGCUAACCCAUCUGCUCUGCUCGAUCGGCAACAAAUUUACCAAAAACGAAUACUACUAAGUACUAGUACCUCUGUUCAUUAAUAUAAGACGUUUUGGUAGUUUAAAUAAAACUGCCAAAACUUCUUGUAUUAAUGAACACAGGGUGUACAUUAUAUGUUCAGCGUGUUCAUUGCUCUCCCAAGAAACCAAAUCAGAGGAAGCCGUCCCUGCGGUCCUGCUCCUCAGCGUCCUUGUUCGCCGUCUGCACGGCCUUGUACCACAGAUACCCCUGGAGUCCAAACGAGAAUGAACUCGAUCAACAACUGCAAUACAAAUUUAAUCUACUAGCAUAGAUCCGGCGUGGCAGAGUACGUACGGAGGUCGGGAUGCCGGUGACGGCGAAGAAGCCGAGGAUGGGCGCGUAGAGCGGGCUGUCGGUGCCCACGACGCCGAACACCGCCCGCCCGUUCGUGUACUCGAAUAUCGACCCGAUCUGCACGCGGAUGCGACGGUCAGCGGAGCGGAGCGGAGGAGGAGGAGAAGAAGGGGGGAGAUAAAGAAGGGCUCGAGAAACGUACGGCGGCGAUGGCCGUCACGGCGGACGCGAGCAGGUAUGCGUAGAACGGGACCUGGGCGGCGUCGCCUUCCUGCCCCGAGGCCCCGCCUUCGUCGCGCGCCCACGGAGGAGGCUCGUCGGAGCCCGGCCGGGCCCAGGAGGGGACCUUCUCGUCCGCCUUCUUGCCCGACGACUUGGCGGCCGCGACCACCAGCUUUCGGCGCGACGACGACGGCCGCGCGCACGGCGCGGCGGCCGCUUGGGAGGCGAGGCGAGGUUCGGGCUUCCGGCUCGGGCCGACGCAGCGCGAGCCGCAGAGGGAGAUGGCUGCCGCGGCCAUGGAUGCGAGCGCGAGGUCUUGCGGUGGGAGAGCUUGGAGCGCGGCGUGUGUGUGUGUGUGGAGUCGACCGAGGAGUGUGGAUAGGACGUGCGCGGCGCACGGUGCACGGUUGCCGGCUUCUCCUCCGUUGGUCACGUGCUGUGGGCUGAGCUUUAGCGGCCCACGUGUGAGGGACGCAUUAAGCUUUUAUUGAGCUGGGCUCAAAUACUCCCCUAACAGGAAAAAAAAACUGGGCUCCAAUACCGAAUUCAGCAAUGCUCCGUCAUUGUCUAAAAAAAAGCAAUGCUCCGUCAUUGUCCAAAAAAAAUGCUCCAUGAUUGUCUCAAAAAAAAACAGCGCUCCCUCAUGUUUCAAGCUUCCAUGCAGAGCAGCCAUCAAGGAAUGAGACACUUUGAAGUCAGGGCUUGUGAAGAAGAAUAGGAAUGGACGAUCUCACUACUGCUUGUAACGAGAAUCGGAUUCCAAUGAAAAGUUCAGUGUGUCCUAUCGCAUGUAUGAACCUGAUCUGGCAAUAUUAUCGAGUGGAUUUAUCGAAGCAUCAUUAGCAACGUCGAACGAAUAAAAGUUGCGUCAUUUCUUCCUGUCAAGGGAUGUUGAGGAAAUUGUAAAGACUCCGUUGAGUACAGGCCAACUAGAUGACUUAUGGGCUUAGCAACCAAAGGCCAUCAGGUAUUCAUAGUGAGAUCAUCACAUUGUCUUCUAUUAAGUACAAAGAGCAAGAGGGAAGACUAGUUGGAAGAGAGACCUAUGAAUUCUGACGAUUGGCGGGGAAAAGAAAAAAACCGUCUACUACGCUAUGGCAGGUGCAGGUCUAAGCAAAAGGUUGUGUUGUUCUAUGGAGGUUGGCCAAGCUAUUCCUUCCUUUCAUGGAUAUAUAAAACACAUAAAUAUUGCAUUGUUGAACAGGUGCUCCAUCUACUACGAUGAAGAUACAUAGCACCACUCGUUGUUAGAGUGCACCAUUGCCAGGUGUGUAUCAACUCUCCUAAACGAGGAAACGAGGGGUCAGUUGGAUUUGCAAAGGUAGCGAUGCGCUAGAAUUUGGUUGUUUAACUUGAUUGAAAACCUUCUCCAUGUACAUGUUGCAAGAAUAUCCGUGAUGAUGUGGGCAGGUGGGUGCUAGGAGGAAGGCCAUGCAUGAAAAUAUAUUUAAGUCCCUGUUUGUCGCACACAACUUCCUUGACUAGUUAUUCUCAUAUCCGUCGAUGACUAAACCCGAGAUGGGAGUGGAUACUCCUCGUGUACCAGUGGCGGCUGAAUGGUAUCCGUCUCCCACUGACUUCGUCAAGAUAAAUGUGGACACUAGAGUGAGCAAGAACAUAGAUUGGGAAUCUGUCACUAUCGUGGCUCAUGAUGCAGCUGGACAUUACCCGGGGGGCUCCACCAUCUCUUUCGCCGAGCAGUUUGAAGCUGAGACAAUGGAAGCAUCUUUGCCUCGGAUCUGAGUCGGAGGAAAUCAAGACUUGGUCCAAGAAGCUUAGUGACUAAAGGUUUUCCCACGAACCAAGAAGUUUGAAUAAAUAAUUUUUUUAGACAAAGUUCGAAUAAUUAAGUGCACUCUAUCUAGAAGCCCGCUACCCCUACAACUGGCGCACCAUUUGUGUGGUUUGGAAAUCUGCCUAUGGGUGUGGGCUUUCUUGCCUUAUUUCUGAUAAUUGAUAAAGGGGCAGAUGAUUACUAAAGAAAUUACAUUGACGAUCAACGAGGGGGUGGAAUCAAAGAGACACGGAUGGCUUAAGAGCAUAAUAGGUAUAAAUAAUGUCGUAAAAAAUCAAUUUCAGUAAAAAAAAGGAAAAUAGAUGAAAUAUUGUUUACUUAUGUACGUAUAAAUGUUCGUGCACAUGAAUAAAAUGUUCAUUGUCUAUCUGAUUUUUUUUCUUGUAUGAAUAAUUAUAUAUGUAUAUUGUUGUUUUACAUUUUUAUAUAAAAACAUCUUUGGAAAAAGGCCUUUUAAAAAAGUUCUGAUAUAAGAAAAUGUUUUUUUAUAAAAAAGUUAUAUAUGUAAGAAAAUGUUGUUACAUCUCCCUCCGUCCCGAAUUAGUUGUCUUAGAUUUGUUUAGAUACGAAUGUAUAGAUUUGUUUUUGUUUAGAUAUGAAUGUACUCUAGAUACAUUCGUAUCUAAACAAAUCUAAGACACCUAAGUUGUGACGGAGGUAAUAUGAAAUAACGUCUUUGAGAAAAGAUCUGGUAUAUAAAGCUAUAUUUUGUAUUAAAAAAUCAAUUAUUAAAAAAAACAUAGACUAUUAAAAAGUUGUUACACAUGUGAACAUAUGUUCAUGUAAUGUGGAAAAAAAUUUCAAGUCCAAAAAAAGCUCAAAACUUAUAAGUUGUAACCACGCGCGAACUGUAUGGCAGGUUAAUUUGUCUCCAAGGAGCGCGGUGAAGGCUUAUUUAUACUCAGUUCUAACAUUAGCCUUCUCCCACUGUAUCCCAUAAUUAUCAUGUAGGCCGAUGUGUAGUAUCAAGCCGCUGUGGAAGUCAGGUCUAUGUACCUAGUUGAAGGUGCGUUCCACUCUGUGCUAGAGUAGAUGGUAUGUGUGAGGAAUCCUGUCUUUCAGCCUUAUUUCGUGGCGUUUUGGGCUCUUGGUGGCUACAUUUUUACGCAGAGAAUGGUUAUGUGCGCUCUCUGCUUCGCCGUGUACUUACAUUAAGGUUAGUUUGGCUGUCUGUUUUGUUAAUAGGAAUCGCAGCAAUGCAUCUCCCAGCUUUGCAAUGCGAACGCUGCGAUUGAUCGGUAGGUUGAUCACGGGACCUGAAGUUGGAUGUUUGGAUUGUGACUAACAUUGGCAUCACCAUCAUUUUGGUCAUGAUUUUGGACGGUCAGCAAGGAAUUGGUUUGCUCAUACCCGUUCCCCCAGUGGUUUACUGUUCCUGCAAAAACCAAAACACGGAACAAUUAACGUCAGCUUAUCAAAGUGUGUUUUUACAGUUCAGAAGAAGAAGAAGAAGAAGAAGAAAACACUAUAUCACUAUGUAAAGAGACAGAUAUUCAUUCAAUUUGGCUCUGGCCAAAACCUCAAAAUGAAAUGGAAACAUGCCAAAAACGUAAAUUGCCUGAAAGGCAUGGGGCAUGGACAAGACUUGACCUGGCGUGCUGCUGCUGGAGUGGGAAUCUCAUACAGUACUACUCACGCACGCACGUAGCACCAAAGGAAUCCAAAGGGGUUCAGACAGUGCCAUGUCCAUCAUAUCCUGGUGAGAUUCUGCAGUUUUAGGUGUCAUUUUCUUCAGCACAUGGUCACGGGAUCAGACUAGAAUAAUACAUCAGUUACAAGGGGUGGUGGUGGGUGGUUGCACUCACAGCGUUAGACGAGCACGCACCGGCAGCUGCCGCUCCACUAGAUACAGACCUCUGUCCGGCCUCCGCCGCUCUGCUAGAUCGCCACCUUCCAGUACGCAUCGCACCUGGGGUCACUGCCUUGAGUGAGCUCUGGGAAGGUGGAUGCAUCAGCAGCAGCGAGAAAUCAGUUCAGAGUUUAGCCCAUAGCCAUGAAACUUGUGUUCAAGGAGCAAUUCAACGGCCGGCUGUGCUGCAGAGAAUAAGGCUAAGUAGGGCGGUGCAGAUGAUCUUGUAGUACUUCCUUUCCUAUCCUUCUUUUGCAGUCCACAGCCGAGUUUCUUUCAUGGGCUCAUCUUGCUCUUUGUUUUUCAGUCGGACAAUCUCUAGCUUUCAGUUCAGGGCAUGCAGCUUCGCGCAGAGGAGAAAAGUGGGAACAGCUGAAGGUAGUCAGAUGAAGGUAGUGUCUCAACAACACAUAACUCAAGUUUUCUCUAGAUGGUUGAUGCAACUCACAAAUAUACAUUGCUAUGCUAGCCAAAUAUUUCACCUGAUCACAGUUUUGGGUUGCUCUGAAGCAAGACAAUGAUAUGCACUGACUUUGACUUAGAAAGAAAGAAACAUGAUUGCCUUAGCUCAUGUAGGUAAUAACAUGGGUCUAAUUUGAACAUUUAUAACAUCGUUCAGCACUAAUUCAAGCUGUUGCCAACUUCUGCGGGCCCUAACUUGGUUUGCUAACAAGAUAAUAGAUCAAGACAGCUCUUGUUUCUUUCCAAACAGCCACCAAGUCUCUUCUGCUAUUUGAUCAGAAUUUUUUCUACAAGUACUAACUUUGACUCGUGCUAUUCGUAAGAGUUGUGGAAUUUUUCUCCAGCCCAAAAGAUCUGUUGUGCAUCAUGUUUUUUCUCACGUGUGUGCAGGAAAAUAUCGCCCAUCAGGGCCAAAACAAUUAAAGCCAGUCAAAAGAAUCAGUAGAAAUCUUGAAGGGGGAAAGAGUGUAUGACCCGAACUCAGAAGCAGAAAGAGCAGGAAGAUAAAUAAAAUCAAGCAUCGCUACAGAACUAAUCUGAUGAGCAAGAGAAAAAAGGAAGAGCGAGAACAUCAGCGCAAGAGGCCACUAAGUGUAACAGAUACAGACCUGAUGGGAAAAGGCAAAGGAAGAGAUGCCCUACCUGCCAUCAGCUAUACAGAUCAACAAAUACCUUUUCGGAACUUGCGUACAAAUCAUCAACCAUUGCAACUCAAGGAACCAUGCAUGUGCAGGUGCCGAAUUUGCAAGGUGUUACGAGGAAAUUCAAAUCAUCAACCAUUGCAACUCAAGGAACCAUCAACUGUACACAGUGCAGUAACUGUGAAGCAAAUUACCAAACAAAGACAAGAAAAUGAAUUAGCAAGAACAGCAAGGAUGAAGGGGAAACUUGUGUUGAAGGGGCAAUUCAACACAAAUACAGCAAGGAUGAAGACAUGGAAUUUUGAGGAGGCAGCUAUAAGAAAACAACAAAUACUGGGCUGGAGAUUGCAAAAAUUAUGCACUUGCCAACGUUGCCACACGUUCAGGGCAAAAUCAAAUUAUCAACCAGCACAAGUCAUGGAAUCAUCAGCUGUAAACAGUGCAAUAAUGGCUGACCAGAUGAUGAAACUAAGACGCCAGGACGAAUUAACAAGAACGGCACGGAUGAAGAGGAAAGCACAAAUUCAACUUAACAAGAGCAGAAAACGUGCCAGAACCAAUAAUGGUGAUAUAGACAGGGUUGACAAUUCUAAUGCCAGUAAGAUAUGGAACUUUGGGGGGCCAACAUGCAUCUGCCAACACUGCCAUGCACUUAUGUGGCAUGGAGAAAAACUACAAUCUUCCAGUAGCACACAACCAUCCUUUGGACAAUGCUGCAAACAAGGGAAGAUUAUCUUGCCGCCAUUUAAAGAACCACCGCCUUACCUUACAAGUUUAUUGACAAGGGGUGGAGGGGAAAUAUCAGCGAACUACCGAAAAAACAUUAGGUCUUACAAUUCCAUGUUUGCGUUCACAUCAAUGGGGGGAAUUUUGGAUAAGAAAAUAAACAAAGGGCGUGGACCUUAUGUUUUCCGACUGAAUGGUCAGAACCGCCACCAGAUAGGAACCCUGCUACCUGAAGAAGGAAAUAAGCCUCGUUUUCAACAGUUGUAUAUUUAUGACACAAAGAAUGAGAUCCAGAAUAGGAUAGAAGCAUCAAGAUCUGGUAAACGUGAUGCCUUACUAGAUGAAAAAAUUGUCAGUGGCCUACUAACCAUGCUCGACAAGAAUAACACAUUGGCACAAUCGUUCCGGAUGGCAAGAGAUAGAUUUAAAGAAAAUGACUACAAUAACUUCACUCUAAGGUUACUCGGCGAUAGGGAUCAAGAUGGGAGGCAACACAACAUGCCAUCAACAUCAGAAGUUGCCGCGUUGAUAGUCAAAGAUCCAACCCAAAGAUAUGGACGUGACAUUGUUCUUGAGUACAAAGAUAAGAAACCUAAAAGGAUAUCAGAAAUUCAUCCAAAAUUCAUGGCCAUGCAAUACCCGUUGCUCUUCCCAUAUGGAGAAGAUGGUUAUAGACUUGGAAUAAAAUACAACAAAAGGAAAGGUUUAAGUAACAAGAAAUACAUCAGCAUGCUGGAAUACUAUGCAUAUCACUUCCAACAGCGCCCAGGCCAGUCGAUGUUAAUGCUAACGUGUGGAAAUCUGUCAAUGCAGUUUGUGGUUGAUGUCUUCACAUGCAUCGAACAUAAUAGGCUCCACUGGAUCAGAGAAAAUCAAGGAAUUUUACGAACGGAACUUUAUGACGGACUACAGGAUGCAUUCAGAAAAGGAGACACACGGACAGAACAAGUAGGCAGGCGAAUAGUACUCCCAGCAAGUUUUACAGGAAGUCCUCGAAACAAAGAGCAAAACUACCAAGAUAUGAUGGCAAUAUGCCGUUGGGCUGGACAACCCCAAUUGUUCAUAACAUUCACAUGCAACCCUAAUUGGCCAGAGAUUCGGUUGAUGCUAAAUGAAGCUGGGAACCAGAAGCCAGCAGAACGUCCUGAUAUUGUAGUUCGAGUGUUCAUGAUAAAAUUGAAAGAGCUAAUGUCUGAUAUUAGCAGAAAACAGCAUUUUGGAAAGACUAAAGCAUGUAAGUAUUUGUAAAUCAUUUCCCGCAAAAAAAAGUAUUCGUGAAUCAUCACUUAUCACUUUAUCAGUAUCAGAUGCUUGCAUUUUUUUUUCAUGGCCAGUCAUUUACUAACACAAAUUUUAAAAAUGCAGCCGUCUACACAAUAGAAUUUCAAAAGAGAGGACUCCCACAUGCCCAUAUUCUAAUUUUCCUUGAAAACGGACAAAAAAGUCUCAACCCCUCACAAAUUGAUGAAAUAAUAUGCGCUGAGAUCCCGGACAAUGACAAGGAUCCAGAAACAUUCAAAGCUGUCAAGAAUUUUAUGAUGCACGGACCGUGUGGAGAGGCAAAUCCAAAGUCCCCGUGCAUGGAGAAAUAUAUGUGCACCAAGCGUUUUCCAAAAAUAUUUUCUGAAGAGACGAUCGUAGAUGAAGAUCAUUUCCCACGAUACAGGAGACGAGACAAUGGGCGACAAAUAGAUAAGGGAGGAGUCAAAAUGAACAAUGGUUUUGUUGUACCAUACAACAAAGAUCUGCUGGUGAAAUUCCAAGCGCACAUAAAUGUGGAGUGGUGUAAUAAAUGCAUGUCAAUCAAGUACCUCUUUAAGGACAUACACAAAGGAGAUGACCAAGCAACAGCACUGGUUCAAGAAAAAGUACCAUCAAAGACUGAUGAUGAGAUUAAAAUGUACCUAAGAUGUAGAUACAUAACAGCGACUGAAGCAUGCUGGCGAAUAUUCAAAUUCCCUCUGCAAUACCAAGAACCAUCUGUUGAGAGGCUAACGUUUCACCAGGAGAACAAGCAACUAGUAAUUUUUCCUGACUCCAGAAACCUAGAUGAAAUCAUUAGACACCCAAGAUCAGGUGUCACUAUGUUUACCGAGUGGAUGGAGACGAACAAAAAGCAUGAAGAUGCCAGAGAAUUAACAUAUUCAGAGUUUCCUACAAAAUGGACAUGGAAUCACACAAAAAAGAAGUGGACACGGAGAAGAGGAGGAAAGAAAAUUGGCAGGAUCUACAAUGCACAUCCUGCAAGUGGAGAAAGGUACUAUCUUAGAGUUCUCCUCAACACUGCGAAGGGUUGCAUGACAUUUGAAGACAUCAGGACAGUCAACGGAAUUGUGCACUCAUCAUACAAAUCAGCAUGUCGUGCGCUAGGAUUUCUGAACGAUGACAAUGAGUGGAUUGAAUGCAUCAAGGAAGCAUCCAACUGGGCAUCUGGGGUGCAACUACGACAAUUGUUUGCAACUAUACUGUGCCACUGUGAGGUUACUGACCCAAGGAUGUUAUGGGAAUCCAACUGGGAGGUACUCUCUAAAGACAUACAGCAUACACCAAGCUGGAUCUUGGACUUUCCAGCCCCCUUCAGUCCUUCACACAAAAGGGAAUGCAGUUUAAUGGAAAUUGAGAAGCAAAUGGGACAAGCUGGAAAAUCACUAAAGGAAUACCCUGGCAUAGAGCUACCAAAUAUGCCCGAGUUACAUGAAAUUGAGAAAAGGCUUAUAAAUGAAGAGAUGAACUAUGACAAAGACAAAUUGAAGGGUGAGCACGUGCAAAUACUAAAGAAUCUAAAUUUUGAUCAGAAGAAGGCCUUUGAUGCAAUAAUAGAAUCAGCUGAUCAAUCAUUAGGGAGAAUAAUAUUUGUAGAUGGCCAUGGUGGGACAGGUAAGACAUACCUUUGGAAAGCUAUCACAACAAGGCUAAGAUCAGAGGGGAAAAUCGUACUUGCAGUUGCAUCUUCUGGCGUCGCAGCACUUCUGCUUCAAGGAGGUAGAACAGCACACUCAACGUUCAAUAUUCCAAUCAAUCUGACAGAUCAAUCAACAUGCUACAUCAAACAAGGUUCAGAUGUGGCGGAUUUAUUAAUGAGGACGUCACUAAUACUGUGGGAUGAAGCUCCAAUGGCAAACAAACAAUGCUUUGAGGCACUUGACAAGAGCCUAAGGGACGUGCUGAGGUUCACAAAUGAGAAUAGUUGUGCCAAGCCCUUUGGCGGCAUGACGGUUGUUCUUGGAGGGGACUUCCGACAAAUCCUCCCUGUUGUGCCAAAAGGAGGACGGGAGCACAUUAUAGAUGCAUCAAUCAAAUGUUCAUACCUCUGGCAAUAUUUUGAGGUAUUUAAUCUGACAAAAAAUAUGCGGCUCAAAUCUCUAUCCAGUGAUCAAGCAGAGCAGCAGAAGACUGCGGAAUUUGCGGAGUGGAUACUACAGAUUGGCAAUGGAGACACAUGUUUACUAGAUAAAAAGGACUAUCUAAGUAUCCCCAGUGACCUGCUGCUAGAAAAUAGAGAUGACCCAAAAACAAAAAUCAUCCAAAGUACCUAUCCUGACCUGCAAGACAAUCUCUGCAAACACGAGUUCCUGAAAGAAAGGGCGAUACUGUGUCCAUUGAACGAGACAGUCAAUGAGAUCAAUGAGUAUAUUAUGAGUCAAAUCCAAGGUGACAAGGUGACGUACCUGAGCCAUGACAGUGUGAGCACAUCGAUGAAUUACAGCCAUGAAAUGGAAUUGUUGUAUACUACAGAGUUUCUAAACAAGUUAAAGCACCCGGGAUGUCCAAAUCACCUACUUGAGCUCAAAGUUGGUCUGCCAGUGAUGCUUCUCCGCAACAUCAAUCAAAGUGCAGGGCUAUGCAACGGUACUAGAAUGGUAAUCACAAAACUUGGAGAAAGAGUCAUCGAAACGCAGAUCAUAACUGGAGCACACGUCGGUACUAAGGUGUGCAUCCCUCAGAUCAUCAUGUUGCCAUUCGAGCCUAAAUGGCCGUUUGUUCUAAAAAGAAAGCAAUAUCCUCUCUCCGUGUGCUUCGCGAUGACAAUCCACAAGAGCCAGGGACAGUCUUUGAACAAGGUCGGCCUCUACUUGCCCAGGCAAGUUUUUGCUCAUGGGCAACUCUAUGUGGCAGUCUCCAGAGUAACAAACAGGCAUGGCCUGAAGAUCCUGAUCACUGACGACGAAGAACACGCAAGCAAAGGAAAGGCGAAAAACAUAGUGUACAAGGAGAUCUUCUAAAUGCCUAUCUGUAGCAGUGUGGUACUGUUCUAUGCAGACUCCAGUAAAUAAUGUUAUGUCAAAAUUGGCCGUUCUUCUGUUCCGGCCAUUAAUAAGCUAGUGUUCUAGAGCACGGUUGCAGCGCAACCGAUGCCAAGACUCUCAACCGCGGAUAUGUGCUUUGGUUAAUCUGUUGUAUUACCAUCUAUUUGCUCAAAUUUGUGUUUUCAUCUCAUCACUCAGACUGGAUUACGGGUCAACAAUUUGAGUUUGCGUCCGAACUCAUGCACGUCGAACAGUACAGUAUGGUGCAUUGAAUCAAAAAAGGGGAGGUGGUUCUAGUACCGGCCCAUUGAAGUUGAUUCGCAUGAGGGCGGAGUGGAUGGCGCGGUGAAUGUGAGUCACAACCCUGGCAGCGGUGACGAGUUCCGGCGGACUGCAUCGAGUCAAUGGCGGAGCCAGGAAUGAAGAGAUGCCGGGCCAGAAACAAAUAAAUUCAGUAACAUGGGAAAAUGUGGGCACUUAUAGCUACUCAAAAACACAUCAUGGCAUUCCUUAGUUCUACAACAUGAAAUAAGAUUGCCAAAAAAACGAAUCAAUUUGAGUACAUACACUGAUCAAAUCCAUCAACAUCAAUUAUUUUCAAUUCCAUUUCACUAGUUCAAUACAAUGUUCAAAUGCACAGGAAAGACAGGGGCUAAUCAAAUGCAUCAAUGUGGCAGAAAAAUUAACCAAUCGUGGGCGCAGCAGAGAGGCAGCAGCACAACGGCACGGCGAGUCGGCGACAGGCGACAGCCACAGCACACAAGUACACAACAGCACAGCGGCUACUCCGGGGCUCUGCCGCUCUGCGCUGCGGCUGUGCAGCACGGCGAGCCGGCCGCUGGCCGGGGCGGAGCCUUGAAAGGCAACUGGGCUCGGCAGUAGGGGGUCGGGGCGGAGCAGCCAGUCAGCAGGCGCAGGAGGGCGGGGGCCGCGGGGGAAGGCCGGGAGGGACGGAGGCCGGAGGGUGGGUGACGGCGGCGCCGGCGCCAGCGUGUGCUCUGGACACAGCGUGCAGCAUGCGUGUGGUUCGGGCCUUUUUUGCUUGGGAUGGGCUGUGCUGGGCUCAAAUCAAACUGCUGGACCAGCAGCAAAUUUAGAGGCUGGAAAUAACCCCACGCCCCGGGCCUGGGCGAGCCCUCGAACUCACCAGUUGAGAAAUACUCGUUGCAAAGAUCACUCCAACUCUCAUGUUGCGACAAGUGGCGCGCGUCACUUGUCGCAAUCAAUCUGGGAAUUUUUCCUUUUUUCUAGAUUCAUUUAUUCAAAACGUUUUUAUCUCUUAAACCGUGCGUCCAAAUCUCAAACCGUUUUCACCGUUGGAUUCCUCGCGUCGAAAUCUUUAAAACUAGAUCCCACGUUGAUAGGUUUUGACGGAUUUUUUUUAAAAAAACCGGCCAAAUAACGAAACGGGAGCACGGAUUUUUUCUCCUUUCCGAAAGAGGCACGCCUGUGCCUCUCACGAAAUUACAACCGUGCCUCUCGCGGAAGCAAAACCGUGACUCUCGCAGAAGGGAAAAAAAAGAAAACGCGUUUUUUUCUGUUUCCGAGGAGGUAUGGCCGUGGCUCUCGCGAAAGCACACCCGUGCCUCUCGCGGAAGCAAAACCGUCACUCUCGCGAAAGGAAAAAAAUAGAAAACGCGUUUUUUUCAUUUCCGAGAGGCACGGCCGUGACUCUCGCGAAAGCACAACCGUGCCUCUCACGGAAGCAAAACCGUGACUCUCGCGAAAGGAAAAAAGAUAAAAAAUGCGGGAUUUUUCGUUUCCGAGAGGCACGGCCGUGACUCUCGCGAAAGCACAAGCGUGCCUCUCGCGGAAGCAAAACCGUGAUUCUCGCGAAAGGAAAACAAACAGAAAACGCAUUUUUUUUCGUUUCCGAGAGGCACGGCCGUGACUCUCGCGAAAGCAAAACCGUGCCUCUCGCAAAAGCAAAACCGUGACUCUCGUGAAAAGAAAAAAAAAAGAGUUUUUCGCGCAAAAAAAUUAAAAAAAAUUGGUCGAAAAGCUAAGGAAGACCAGUGGAAAACCAAAACGUCCAAAAAACCGAAAAAAAUCGUUUAAAUAGACGAAAACGCGUGCAGAAAAAUAAAAAAACAAAAUCCGGGGGGAGCGCCUAGAGCGCGACACGUGGCAAAUGGCUGAGAGCGCGCCAAGUGGCGCUGAUCGUCGCGAGGCUCCCGAGGAGCGCAAGUUAACUAGUGGCUCCCUAUUUGACGCGCGCGUGAGUCGAACGGCUGCGCUUCCGCUGAAGCGGGCGAACGAGCACCGCGAAAUGGGCCGGCCCACUGCGAGCGUUAAUAGCACUGCGUGGCAAAACGGUUUUGGGAACCUUUUGAAAGGUUCCCUCAACCGGUUUUUUGCUUUUUUUAUCUUUUGCCAGUUUUUUGGUUUUCCUUGUUUCCUUUUUUAUUUUUGUACUUUUUCAUCUUUUGUUUCUGUUCCUAUUUCUUUCUUUCCCCCCUUUAUUCUACCUUUUUCAUUUAUUAACCUUUGUUUUCAAAAAAAUAGAAAUUCCAAUUUCUGUUCAUCAUUUCAUAAAUUGUUCACAGUUAUCAAAUUUUGUUCACUUUUUUUAAAUUUGUUCAAAAUGCAAAAAUUGUUCAGCGUAUAUCACAAAAAUUAUUCAAUGUGUAUUUAGAUAUUGUUCAACGUAUAUAAAAAUGUUCAUGUGUUAAUUGUUCAGCCUAUAUAAAAAUGUAUUCAAUGUGUAUUAAAAUAUUUUCAUCGUAUAUCAAAUCAAAUGUAUAUUUAAUAAAAAUAUUAAAUGGUUAAUAUUUCGAUUUUUCUUUUAUCUACCUUUUUUAGUGCCUUUUUUAUCUACCUCUAUAUCUAGUUCUUAAAUACGCGCGGGGCCUACAAGCAACUGAAACUAGCUAGCUCAAGUGGUAAGGAACAAUUUGUUUGUGUCAUGCGUUGUUGAGUUCGGUUCCCGAAGAGUGCGUCACGUCAGAUUGACGCUCGCGAACGUCAGCUAGGGACUCCUGCCCCAAAUAAGAAAAAAAAAGUAGCUAUUUCAUCAAAUCCCGAUUGUGUGGGUGUGAAGUGGAAAAAUCCCGUUCUGGCUGGCAGCGGGGGCCUGGGGAACUCCUAUUUGGCGCAGCAUCCGACGGGAGGCCGACGCCCGCGCACACCCCACGCUGCACCCGCGCGCCCAUUUUGCCGGCCCAGGAGCGGCUCAAGACGCCACCUAUUUUCUUUUUUUGUUUUUCGUUUUUGUUUUUUAUUCCAUUUUUUCUUGUACAAAUAAUUUGAGAUUUCAAAUAAGUUCCAAAAUUCAAACAAAUUGAAUUUCGAACAAGUUUGUGGAGCCAAAAAAAAUUCCUUGAAUUCGAAUAAUGUUCACGAAUUUGAAAAAAAUAAUCAUGAUUUCGAAAAAUGUGCAUGAAUUUUAAUAUUAAUAAAAACAAAUAUCAGAUGAACAAAUUUUGAAUUUGAUGAAUAUUUUUCUAAUUUGAGUAUAAAUUCUCAAUUCAAGAACAUUUUUUUGAAAAUUGGAUGGACUUUUAGAAAAAUUGGAUGAACAUUUUUUAAAUUAUGGUGAAUUGUUUUCAUUUCACAAACAUUUUUUGAAUUAGAUAACAUUUUUUUUUGAAAUUGAUGAAAAAAUUAUCAAUUCAAGAACAUUUCUUUGAAAUCGGAUGAACUUGUUAAAAAAUGGAUGAACAUGUUUUGAAUUUAAUGAAAAUUUUCUAAAUUAUGGUGAACAAAUUUUGAAUACGACGAACAAAUUUUGAAUUUCAUCAUGAACAUUUUUUGAAUUAGAUGAACAUAUUUUUAUAUCAAUGGACAAAAAAAUAUUCAUGAUUUGAGUAAAAGUUCAUGAAAAUGAGAAAAACAAAAACAAAGAAGAAAAAGGAAAAGAUAAUAGUAAUCGAAAACAAAGUAAAGAAAAAUGAUAAACAAAAAGGAAAGCAAAAAAGGAAAAAAUGAAAAAGAAAAUGAAAAAGGAGAGAAAUACAGAGAGAAAAAACCGACCAAACAUGAUCAACCUGGGCAAGCCCACUUAUGCGCAGCGGGGAGGGGGCGGGGGGCACGCGUGUGGUCGCUUCGCGGCGACCUAAGCGCCGAAUAGGAGCUGCCCGGGGCCUGGACCCUGGGUGACCGGGGGCCAGCUCUGCCCCAACGACUGAGACGGUGACGCUGACCGCGGUGGGGAAGGAUAUGGCUGAGAGCAACUAACUGGAGGUUCCGAGAGUUGCUAAAAAAAUAGGAGGUUCCUAGACUAUAAAAACCUGACUCGAGGUUAUCCCUUGCGGGGACCCAAGGGUCACUUUUGGUGUUCUUAGAGCACGCUGAAAGGAUCGAUAUAGUUGACUAGAGGGAGGGUGAAUAGGCAACUAACAAUUUUUAGCUUUUCUUUACCAAUUUAAACUUUGCAUCAAAGUAGGUUGUCUAGAUAUGCAACUAGGUGAGCAACCUAUAUGAUGCAACAACAAUAAGCACACAUGCAAGCAAGAGAUAAAGCACAAAUAAGCUUGCACAAGUAAAGGCACGAGAUAACCAAGAGUGGAGCCGGUGAAGACGAGGAUGUGUUACCGAAGUUCCUUCCCUUUGAGAGGAAGUACGUCUCCGUUGGAGCGGUGUGGAGGCACAAUGCUCCCCAAGAAGCCACUAGGGCCACCGUAUUCUCCUCACGCCCUCACACAAUGCGAGAUGCCGUGAUUCCACUAUUGGUGCCCUUGGAGGCGGCGACCGAACCUUUACAAACAAGGUUGGGGCAAUCUCCACAACUUAAUUAGAGGCUCCCAACGAUACCACGAAGCUUCACCACAAUGGACUAUGGCUCCGCGGUGACCUCAACCAUCUAGGGUGCUCAAACACCCAAGAGUAACAAGAUCCACAAGGGAUUAGUGGGGGGAUUCAAAUUUCUCUUGGUGGAAGUGUAGAUCGGGACCUCCUCAACCAAUCCCUAGAGAAUCAACAAGUUUGAUUGGCUAGGGAAGGAGAUCGGGCGAAAAUGGAGCGUGGAGCAACAAUGGAGCUUGGAGGUGGAAGAGGUAGUCAACUAGAGGAGGAAGACACCCCUUAUAUAGUGGAAGAACAAAUCCAACCGUUAUCCACCAACUCAGCCUGCGCAGCACGGUACUACCGCACCUGAGGCACGGUACUACCGCAGGGCCCCGCGGUACUACCGCCCACGCAGCAGAGACCAGAACAGCAAAAAAUGCACUAAAGCAGAGGGCGGUAGUACUGCUGGCGCGGUACUACCGCUCCCCCUUGCGGUACUACCGCAAGGCAGGUGCUGCCAGGGAUGGGAAGGCACGGAUAUAAAAAUUACAUCCGUGGCUACUUCCGCAGAGUUGGAGUCGAUGCAAAAACCCGACGCGGUAGCACCGUAAGCUAGCAGCGGUACUACCGCGCGAGGCGCGGAUGUAAAAAAUUACAUCCGCCCCUUACUGCCGCGUACUUGCGGAACUAAGUUAGAGACCACGGUACUACCGCUUACUAGAAGCGGUACUACCGUGGGUCCUUGCGGUACUACCGCACCAGCGGGCGGUACUACCGCGAGGUCCUGCGGUACUACCGCUCUAAGGAGCAGUACUACCGCAUGCCCUAGUUCGGCAAGCAAGAGCAAUAUUUGCAUAGACAAGGAAAACAAAGGAUGCUCCAAAGGCUAGAGGAAAGGAGGUGCAAAGGAAGAUGUGUACGUGAUGAAUCCACCCAACCUUACGCGGACCCCCUCUUAAUAGUACGACUUCCCUACGACUCAAUACCACCGAAAAGAAACGAAGAGAAACGCCGUCUUCUAUAGCCUUCGAGGGGAACCAAAUCGUCUUGUGCCUAGUCAAUAUAUCUGAAAUAUUCGAUGCACAUGAUUAGUCCGCAAAAGCAUUGUCAUCAAUCACCAAAACCAACUAAGGGAUAAAAAUGCCCUUACAAUCUCCCCCUUUUUGGUGGAUUGAUGACAACACGGGAUUUGCACGAGGUUAUAACGCAAAGAGCAAGGGCAAACCCCCAAGUCUCUAAAAUAUAGACGGGCUCCCCCUAGAUGUGUGCUAUCUCGAUGAGUGCUUUGGACUGCAUGGCACACAUACUAGGAUCAACACUCCCCCUAUAUUUUAUAGACAUGGCAAAUCUUGCAAUAAGGCUAAAGCUAAGCAAGAUAGAUAGGAGCAUAGUGUAAUAAGCAUAAUAUAGAAUAAGCUCACUACGGUACGAUAGAGUGCAUAUGUCUUACACCAUAUGAUCGAAGGUAGGUCUCAUGAGCACAAACCAAAGCAAACCAAAGCAAACGAAAUAAACGAAGUUCAACUGACCCAAACACGACACAACUCGCAAAUCCUACACUCCCUCCCCCUUUGGCAUCGAGACGCCAAAAAGGCAGAGAGGAAACCUACAGCAAUAGUGGUGGCUCAAGCGGAGUAGUCACUUGCACGCUCCCCGUCAGACUCUGCAGCUCGGACGGACUCCUUCUCAGACUCGGUCCACCGAUAACCCUGCUUGUGCAUCCAUUCUACCUCUGGGGUGAUGUUCACCUCUGACCCGCUAGAUAUGUUCUCGCCAAAGGUCCUGAAAAUCCGCUUGUCGUGGCGGCGAGUCUCCUUGGAAGCCACAUGGGUCUGGUACUGCCCCUUUGCCUGCAUACAGAACAACAUCUUCAUCUUGUUCUUCAGUCGCUUAGCCCAAGAAGGCUCAGAGGUGGGAGGGAUGUAAACCUCAGAGUUGUCCUCGUCUGCUGCCUCCUCCUCCUCCUCAUCUGCAUCCACGUCCAUGGCAGCCGCAGUAUCAGCACGAGAGGUAGUGUUGGCCCACUGAGGCUUGAUACGGAGGUUGAUGGGCUCAUGCCGGAUCCAACCAGGGGCCUCAAACUCAUCCUGAGGGUAGACCCGCUCCCAAGUGGCCGAGAUCAACUGAAACAAAUAAGGUCCAUAGAUGGGGACCUUGCGGUUGUAGACCGCAAACCGAAGCUCAUGCCACAUGAUAUGUGAGACAUCAAGUGGUAAUGUCUGAGAGUUGCGAGCAUCUUCACACAGGAGCAUCAUAUCCACCAGAUAGGCAUGCACCUUGUCCUUGUCCCCAAUGCGUGGGAAGAGAGUGUUGCGGAAGAUCUGGUGCAUGAUGUCAAGAAAGGAGUUGAGUACCCAAGAUGACUUGCCAUUGGAGAGCCUCUUCUCCACAUAGUAGGGCAUAAGCUUGUUCUUGUUGGCAGACUCGGGAUUGGCAUGAGGGCGAACACCUUGGGGUGUGGCGAGCCCCUCAUCCGGAACCCCAAGCAAAGUCAUGAAUUCCUUCCAAGUAGCAGUCAGCUGCCGACCAUUGGUCAUCCAAGUCAUGGUCCUUUCCUCAUUGGGAUGAAAAUGCACUGAGGCAAAGAACUGAGCAAGGAUCUCAGGAUCAUAGUCUUUGUGGAAUGAGAUGAUAUGCUCAAUGCCAAAUUGCUCCACUAGGUCUAAAGCCUCACCAAAGUAUUCCCAGUGCGCCUCUUUUCGCAUGUGAUGCAUGUUGAUCCACUUCACCUCCACAUAGGUGUUUUGCUUGGCCUUGAUGACAUCCAGAUAAAUGAGAUUCUGCUUCUUGGUCCAGAAUAGCUCAUUCCCUCGAAAGUUGGCAUGAGGGUUUCCAUAUGGAUUGAUCUUCCUCCGAGAGAUGAACUCAGUGUUGGGGAUUGUUGCAGAAAUUUAAAAUUUUCUACGCAUCACCAAGAUCAAUCUAUGGAGUCAUCUAGCAACGAGAGAGAGAGAGAGGAGUGCAUCUACAUACCCUUGUAGAUCGCGAGCGGAAGCGUUCAAGAGAACGGGGUUGAUGGAGUCGUACUCGUCGUGAUCCAAGUCACCGAUGAUCCUAGCGCCGAACGGACGACACCUCCGCGUUCAACACACGUACGGAGCGGAGACGUCUCCUCCUUCUUUGAUCCAGCAAGGGGGAAGGAGAAGUUGAUGGAGAUCUUGUUCGAAAUAUGCCCUAGAGGCAAUAAUAAAUUGGUUAUUAUUAUAUUUCCUUGUUCAUGAUAAUCGUUUAUUAUCCAUGCUAAAAUUGUAUUGAUAGGAAACUCAGAUACAUGUGUGGAUACAUAGACAACACCAUGUCCCUAGUAAGCCUCUAGUUGACUAGCUCGUUGAUCAAUAGAUGGUUACCGUUUCCUGACCAUGGACAUUGGAUGUCAUUGAUAACGGGAUCACAUCAUUAGGAGAAUGAUGUGAUGGACAAGACCCAAUCCUAAGCCUAGCACAAGAUCGUGUAGUUCGUUUGCUAAGAACUUUUCUAAUGUCAAGUAUCAUUUCCUUAGACCAUGAGAUUGUGCAACUCCCGGAUACCGUAGGAAUGCUUUGGGUGUACCAAACGUCACAACGUAACUGGGUGGCUAUAAAGGUGCACUACAGGUAUCUCCGAAAGUGUCUGUUGGGUUGGCACGAAUCGAGACUGGGAUUUGUCACUCCGUGUAAACGGAGAGGUAUCUCUGGACCCACUCGGUAGGACAUCAUCAUAAUAUGCACAAUGAGACCAAGGAGUUGAUCAUGAGAUGAUGUGUUACGGAACGAGUAAAGAGACUUGCCGGUAACGAGAUUGAACAAGGUAUCGGGAUACCGACGAUCGAAUCUCGGGCAAGUAACAUACCGAUUGACAAAGGGAAUUGUAUAUGGGAUUGAUUGAAUCCCCGACAUCGUGGUUCAUCCGAUGAGAUCAUCGUGGAACAUGUGGGAGCCAACAUGGGUAUCCAGAUCACGCUGUUGGUUAUUGUCCGGAGAACGUCUCGGUCAUGUCUGCAUGGUUCCCGAACCCGUAGGGUCUACACACUUAAGGUUCGAUGACGCUAGGGUUAUAGGGAAUAUAUAUACAUGGUUACCGAAUGUUGUUCGGAGUCCCGGAUGAUAUCCCGGACGUCACGAGGAGUUCCGGAGGUAAAGAUUUAUAUAUGGGAAGUCCCGUUUUGGCCACCCGAAGAGUUUCGGGCGUCACCGGUAAUGUACUGGGACCACCGGAGGGUUCCGGGGGUCCACCGGGAGGGGCCACCAGCCCCGGAGGGCCCUAUGGGCUGUAUGUGGAGAGGGACCAGCCCCUUAGUGGGCUGGGCGCCUUCCCUCCCAGGGCCCAUGCGCCUGGGGGUUUGGGGGAACCCUAAGGGGAGGCGCCCCCCUUGCCUUGGGGGGCAAGGCAACCCCCCUGGCCGCCGCCCCCUCCUCAGAUUGGAUCUGAGGGGGCCGGCCCCCCUCUCCCUUGCCCCUAUAUAUAUGUGGGGGUGGGAGGGCAGCAGCAACCUAAGUUCUGUCGCAGCCCUCCCCUCUUCCAUGUCCUCCUCCUCUCCCGCGGUGCUUGGCGAAGCCCUGCGGGAUUGCCACGCUCCUCCAUCACCACCACGCCGUCGUGCUGCUGCUGGACGGAGUCUUCCCCAACCUCUCCCUCUCUCCUUGCUGGAUCAAGGCGUGGGAUACGUCACCGGGCUGCACGUGUGUUGAACGCGGAGGCGCCGUGAUUCGGCGCUUAGAUCGGAAUCAACCGCGAUCUGAAUCGCUAUGAGUACGACUCCUUCAUCCGCGUUCUUGCAACGCUUCCGCAUCGCGAUCUACAAGGGUAUGUAGAUGCACUCCCCUUCCCCUUGUUGCUAGAUUACUCCAUAGAUUGAUCUUGGUGAUGCGUAGAAAAUUUUGAAUUUCUGCUACGUUCCCCAACAGUGGUAUCAGAGCCAGGUUUAUGCGUAGUUUCUAUGCACAAGUAGAACACAAAGUAGUUGUGGGCGUCGAUUUUGUCAAUUUACUUGCCGUUACUAGUCUUAUCUUGAUUCGGCGGCAUCGUGGGAUGAAGCGGCCCGGACCGACCUAACACGUACUCUUAUGUGAGACAGGUUCCACCGACUGACAUGCACUAGUUGCAUAAGGUGGCUAGCGGGUGUCUGUCUCUCCCACUUUAGUCGGAUCGGAUUUGAUGAAAAGGGUCCUUAUGAAGGGUAAAUAGAAAUUGGCAUAUCACGUUGUGGCUUUUGCGUAGGUAAGAAACGUUCUUGCUAGAAUCCCAUAGCACCCCACGUAAAAAUGCAACAACAACUAGAGGACGUCUAACUUGUUUUUGCAGGGUAUGCUAUGUGAUGUGAUAUGGCCAAAAGGAUGUGAUGAAUGAUAUAUGUGAUGUAUGAGAUUGAUCAUGUUCUUGUAAUAGGAAUCACGACUUGCAUGUCGAUGAGUAUGACAACCGGCAGGAGCCAUAGGAGUUGUCUUAAUUUAUUGUAUGACCUGCGUGUCAAUGAAAACGCCAUGUAAUUACUUUACUUUAUUGCUAACCGUUAGCCAUAGUAGUAGAAGUAAUAGUUGGCGAGACAAUUUCAUGAAGACACAAUGAUGGAGAUCAUGAUAAUGGAGAUCAUGGUGUCAUGCCGGUGACGAAGGUGAUCAUGCCGCGCCUCGAAGAUGGAGAUCAAAGGCGCAUGAUGAUAUUGGCCAUAUCACGUCACUUUAUGAUUUGCAUGUGAUGUUUAUCAUGUUUACAUCUUAUUUGCUUAGAACGACGGUAGCAUAAAUAAGAUGAUCCCUCACUAAAAUUUCAAGAGACGUGUUCCCCCUAACUGUGCACCGUUGUGAAGGUUCGUUGUUUCGAAGCACCACGUGAUGAUCGGGUGUGAUAGAUUCUAACGUUCGAAUACAACGGGUGUUGACGAGCCUAGCAUGUACAGACAUGGCCUCGGAACACAUGCGAAACACUUAGGUUGACUUGACGAGCCUAGCAUGUACAGACAUGGCCUCGGAACACAAGAGACCGAAAGGUCGAACAUGAGUCGUAUAGUAGAUACGAUCAACAUGGAGAUGUUCACCGAUGAUGACUAGUCCGUCUCACGUGAUGAUCGGACACGGCCUAGUUUGACUCGGAUCAUGUAUCACUUAGAUGACUAGAGGGAUGUCUAUCUGAGUGGGAGUUCAUUAAAUAAUCAGAUGAACUUAAUUAUCAUGAACAUAGUCAAAAGGUCUUUGCAAAUUAUGUCAUAGCUUACGCUUUAGUUCUACUGUUUAAGAUAUGUUCCUAGAGAAAAUAUAGUUGAAAGUUGAUAGUAGCAAUUAUGCGGACUGGGUCCGUGAACUGAGGAUUGUCCUCAUUACUGCACAGAAGGCUUACGUCCUUAAUACACCGCUCGGUGUGCUGAACCUCGAGCGUUGUCUGUAGAUGUUACGAAACAUCUGACAUACACGUUUUGAUGACUACGUGAUAGUUCAGUGCGUAAUGCUAACGGUUUAGAAUUGUGGCACCAAAGACGUUUUUGAAACGUCGCAGAACAUAUGAGAUGUUCCGAAGACUGAAAUUUGGAUUUCAGACUAGUGCCCACGUCAAGAGGUAUGAGACCUCUGACAAGUUUCUUAAGCCUGCAAACUAAGGGAGAAAAGCUCAAUCGUUGAGCAUGUGCUCAGAUUGUCUGAGUACUACAAUCACUUGAAUCGAGUGGGAGUUAAUCUUCCAGAUGAGAUAGUGAUGGUUCUCCAUAGUCACUGCCACCAAGCUAUUAGAGCUUCGUGAUGAACUAUAACAUAUCAGGGAUAGACAUGAUGAUCCUUGAGCAACUCGCGAUGUUUGACACCGCGAAAGUAGAAAUCAAAUAGGAGCAUCAAUUGUUGAUGGUUAGUAAAACCACUAGUUUCAAGAAGGGCAAGGGCAAAAGGGAUACUUCAUGAAACAGCAAAUCAUUUGCUGCUCUAGUGAAGAAUCCCAAGGUUGAACCCAAACCCGAGACUAAGUGCUUCUGUAAUGAGGGGAACGGUCACUGAAGCAAAACUACCCUAGAUACGUGGUAGAUGAGAAGGCAGGCAAGGUCGACAGAAGUAUAUUGGAUAUACAUUAUAUGAAUGUGUACUUCACUAGUACUCCUAGCAGCACCAGGGUAUUAGAUACCGGUUCGGUUGCUAAGUGUUAGUAACUCGAAAUAAAAGCUGCGGAAUAAACGGAGACUAGCUAAAGGUGAGAUGACGAUAUGUGUUGGAAGUGUUUCCAAGGUUGAUGUGAUCAAGCAUCGCAUGCUCCCUCUACCAUCGAGAUUGGUGUUAAACCUAAAUAAUUGUUAUUUGGUGUUUGCGUUGAGCAUAAACAUGAUUGGAUUAUGUUUAUCGCAAUACGGCUGUUCAUUUAAGGAGAAUAAUGGUUACUCUGUUUAUUUGAAUAAUACCUUCAAUGGUCUUGCACCUAAAAUGAAUCUCGAUUGCCGUGAUACACAUGUUCGUGCCAAAAGAUAUAAAAUAGUAAUGAUAGUACCACAUACUUGUGGCACUGCCAUUUGAGUCAUAUUGGUAUAGAACGCAUGAAGAAGCUCCAUGUAGAUGGAUCUUUGGACUCACUCGUUUUUGAAAAGAUUGAGACAUGCAAACCAUGUCUAUUGGUAUAUAUGCAUGAAGAAACUCCAUGCAGAUGGAUCGUUUGGACUCACUUGAUUUUGAAUCACUUGAGACAUGCAAAUCAUACCACAUGGGCAAGAUGGCUGAAAGGCCUCGUUUUCAGUAAGAUGGAACAAGAAAGCAACUUGUUGGAAGUAAUACAUUUUGAUGUGUGCAGUCCAAUGAGUGCUGAGGCACGCAGUGGAUAUCGUUAUGUUCUUACUUCACAGACGAUUUGAGUAGAUGCUGAGUGUAUUUACUUAAUGAAACACAAGUCUGAAUUAUUGAAAGGUUCAAGUAAUUUCAGAGUGAAGUUGAAGAUCGUCGUGACAAGUGGAUAAAAUGUCUAUGAUAUGAUCAUAGAGAUAUCUGAGUUACGAGUUUGGCACACAAUUAAGACAUUGUGGAAAGUGUUUCACAAUUAAUACCGCUUGGAACACCACAGUGUGAUGGUGUGUCCGAACAUCAUAACUGCACCCUAUUGGAUAUGGUGCAUACCAUGAUGUCUCUUAUCGAAUUACAACUAUCGUUUAUGGGUUAGGCAUUAGAGACAACCGCAUUCACUUUAAAUAGGGCACCACGCAAUUCCGUUGAGAUGACACCGUAUGAACUACGGUUUAGAGAAACCUAAGCUGUCGUUUCUUAAAAGUUUGGGGCUGCGACGCUUAUGUGAAAAGGUUUCAGGCUGAUAAGCUCGAACCCAAAGCGGAUAAAUGCAUCUUCAUAGAAUACCCAAAACAGUUGGGUAUACCUCCUAUUUCAGAUCUGGAAGCAAAAGUAAUUGCUUCUAGAAACGAGUCCUUACUCGAGGAAAAGUUUCUCUUGAAAGAAUUGAGUGGGAGGAUGGUGGAGACUUGAUAAGGUUAUUGAACCGUCACUUCAACUAGUGUGUAGCAGGGCACAGGAAGUUGUUCUUGUGGCACCUACACCAAUUGAAGUGGAAGCUUAUGAUAGUGAUCAUGAAACUUCGGAUCAAGUCACUACCAAACCUCGUAGGUCGACAAGGAUAUGUACUACUCCUGAGUGGUACGGUAAUCCUGUCUUAGAUAUCAUGUUGUUAGACAAUACUGAACCUAUGAGCUAUGGAGAAGCGAUGGUGGGCCCAUAUUCCGACAAAUGGUUAGAAGCCAUGAAAUCCGAGAUAGGAUCCAUGUAUCAGAACAAAGCAUGGACUUUGGUGAACUUGCCCGAUGAUCGGCAAGCCAUUGAGAUAAAUGGAUCUUUAAGAAGAAGACGGACAUGGACGGUAAUGUUACCGUCUAUGAAGCUCGACUUGUGGCAAAGAGUAUUUUCACAAGUUCAAGGAGUUGACUACGAUGAGAUUUUCUCAUCCGUAGCGAUGCUUAAGUCCGUCAGAAUCAUGUUAGCAUUAGCUGCAUUUAUGAAAUCUGGCAGAUGGAUGUCAAAAACAAGUUUCCUUACCAGUUUUCGUAAGGAAAGGUUGUAUGUGAUACAAUCAGAAAGGUUUUGUCGAUCGUAAGGAUGCUAAAAGGUAUGCUAGCUCCAGCGAUCCUUCCAUGGACUAGAGCAAGCAUCUCGGAGUCAGAAUAUAUGCUUUGAUGGAGUGAUCAAAGUUUUUGGGUUUAUACAAAGUUUGUUAGAAACUUGUAUUUACAAUAAAGUGAGUGGGAGCGCUACAACAUUUCUGAUAAGUAUAUGUGAAUGACAUAUUGUUGAUCCGAAAUGAUGUAAAAUUUCUGGAAAGCAUAAAGGGUUGUUUGAAAGGAGUUUUUCAAAGGAAGACCUGGAUAAAGCUGCUUACAUAUUGGGCAUCAAGAUCUAUAGAGAUAGAUCAAGACGCCUGAUGAUACUUUCAAAGAACGCACACCUUGACAUGAUUUUGAAAGAGUUCAAAAUAGAUCAGCAAAGAAGGAGUUCUUGGCUAUGUUACAAGGUGUGAGUAUUGAGUAAGACUCAAGACCUGACCACAACAGAAGAGAGAGAAAGGACGAAGGUCGUCCCCUAUGCUUUAGACGUAGGCUCUACAGUAUGCUAUGCUGUGUACCGCACAUGAAGAGUGCCUUGCCAUGAGUUGGUCAAGGGGUACAAUAGUGAUCCGGGAAUGGAUCACAUGACAGCGGUCGAACUUAUGCUUAGUAUCUAGUGGACUAAGGAAUUUUCUCGAUUAUGGAGGUGAAAAGGAGUUCGUCGUAAAGGGUUACGUCGAUGCGAACUUUGACACUAAUCCGGAUGACUCUGAGUAGUAAACCGGAUUUGUAUAGUAGAGCAGUUAUUUGAAAUGGCUCCAAGUAGCGCGUGGUAGCAUCCACAAGAUGACAUAGAUAUUCGUAAAGCACACACGGAUCUGAAAGGUUCAGACCCGUUGACUAAUAACCUCUCUCACAAGCAUAACAUGAUCAAACCAGAACUCAUUGAGUGUUAAUCACAUAGUGAUGUGAACUAGAUUGUUGACUCUAGUAAACUCUUUGGAUGUUGGUCACAUGGUGAUGUGACCUGUGAGUGUUAAUCACAUGGUGAUGUGAAAUAGAUUAUUGACUCUAGUGCAAGUGGGAGACUGUUGGAAAUAUGCCCUAGAGGCAAUAAUAAAUUGGUUAUUAUUAUAUUUCCUUGUUCAUGAUAAUCGUUUAUUAUCCAUGCUAAAAUUGUAUUGAUAGGAAACUCAGAUACAUGUGUGGAUACAUAGACAACACCAUGUCCCUAGUAAGCCUCUAGUUGACUAGCUCGUUGAUCAAUAGAUGGUUACGGUUUCCUGACCAUGGACAUUGGAUGUCGUUGAUAACGGGAUCACAUCAUUAGGAGAAUGAUGUGAUGGACAAGACCCAAUCCUAAGCCUAGCACAAGAUCGUGUAGUUCGUUUGCUAAGAGCUUUUCUAAUGUCAAGUAUCAUUUCCUUAGACCAUGAGAUUGUGCAACUCCCGGAUACCGUAGGAAUGCUUUGGGUGUACCAAACAUCACAACGUAACUGGGUGGCUAUAAAGGUGCACUACAGGUAUCUCCGAAAGUGUCUGUUGGGUUGGCACGAAUCGAGACUGGGAUUUGUCACUCCGUGUAAACGGAGAGGUAUCUCUGGGCCCACUCGGUAGGACAUCAUCAUAAUGUGCACAAUGUGACCAAGGAGUUGAUCACGGGAUGAUGUGUUACGGAACGAGUAAAGAGACUUGCCGGUAACGAGAUUGAACAAGGUAUCGGGAUACCGACGAUCGAAUCUCGGGCAAGUAACAUACCGAUUGACAAAGGGAAUUGUAUACGGGAUUGAUUGAAUCCCCGACAUCGUGGUUCAUCCGAUGAGAUCAUCGUGGAACAUGUGGGAGCCAACAUGGGUAUCCAGAUCCCGCUGUUGGUUAUUGGCCGGAGAACGUCUCGGUCAUGUCUGCAUGGUUCCCGAACCCGUAGGGUCUACACACUUAAGGUUCGAUGACGCUAGGGUUAUAGGGAAUAGAUAUACAUGGUUACCGAAUGUUGUUCGGAGUCCCGGACGUCACGAGGAGUUCCGGAAUGGUCCGGAGGUAAAGAUUUAUAUAUGGGAAGUCCCGUUUUGGCCACCGGAAGAGUUUCGGGCGUCACCGGUAAUGUACCGGGACCACCGGAGGGUUCCGGGGGUCCACCGGGAGGGGCCACCAGCCCCGGAGGGCCCUAUGGGCUGUAUGUGGAGAGGGACCAGCCCCUUAGUGGGCUGGGCGCCUUCCCUCCCAGGGCCCAUGCGCCUGGGGGUUUGGGGGAACCCUAAGGGGAGGCCCCCCCUUGCCUUGGGGGGCAAGGCAACCCCCCUGGCCGCCGCCCCCUCCUCAGAUUGGAUCUGAGGGGGGCGGCCCCCCUCUCCCUUGCCCCUAUAUAUAUGUGGGGGUGGGAGGGCAGCAGCAACCUAAGUUCUGGCGCAGCCCUCCCCCUCUUCCAUGUCCUCCUCUUCUCCCGCGGUGCUUGGCGAAGCCCUGCGGGAUUGCCACGCUCCUCCAUCACCACCACGCCGUCGUGCUGCUGCUGGACGGAGUCUUCCCCAACCUCUCCCUCUCUCCUUGCUGGAUCAAGGCGUGGGAGACGUCACCGGGCUGCACGUGUGUUGAACGCGGAGGCGCCGUGAUUCGGCGCUUAGAUCGGAAUCAACCGCGAUCUGAAUCGCUACGAGUACGACUCCUUCAUCCGCGUUCUUGCAACGCUUCCGCAUCGCGAUCUACAAGGGUAUGUAGAUGCACUCCCCUUCCCCUCGUUGCUAGAUUACUCCAUAGAUUGAUCUUGGUGAUGCGUAGAAAAUUUUGAAUUUCUGCUACGUUCCCCAACAGAUCCAGCAGCACGACGGCAUGGUGGUGGAUGCAGCGGGAUUCCAGCAGGGCUUCGCCAAGCGCUACUGGAGGAGGAAUAGGUGUCACGGGAGGGAGAGGGAGGCGCCAGGGCUUAGGGUGCGGCUGCUCUCCCUCCCCUCCACUAUAUAUAGGGGCUAGGGGGGGCGCAUGCCCCCUUUGGAGAUCCCAUCUAGAGGGGGGGGGGCGGCCCCUCGGGGGGCAACGACCCCCUUAGGGUUUCCAACCAGGGGGGCGCAACGCCCCCUAGGGUUUCCAACCCUAGGCGCCUUGGGCCCUUGGGUGGGGCGCACCAGCCCACCAGGGGCUGGUUCCCACGCCACUUCAGCCCAUGGGGCCCUCCGGGAUAGGUGGCCCCGCCCCGUGGACCCCCGGGACCCUUCCGGUGGUCCCGGUACAAUACCGGUGACCCCCGAAACUCUCCUGGUGGCCGAAACUGGACUUCCUAUAUAUAAAUCUUUACCUCCGGACCAUUCCGGAACUCCUCGUGACGUCCGGGAUCUCAUCCGGGACUCCGAACAACUUUUGGUUAACCGCAUACUAAUAUCUCUACAACUCUAGCGUCACCGAACCUUAAGUGUGUAGACCCUACGGGUUCGGGAGACACGUAGACAUGACCGAGACAACUCUCCGGUCAAUAACCAACAGCGGGAUCUGGAUACCCAUGUUGGCUCCCACAUGCUCCACGAUAAUCUCAUCGGAUGAACCACGAUGUCGAGGAUUCAAUCAAUCCCGUAUACAAUUCCCUUUGUCAAUCGGUACGUUACUUGCCCGAGAUUCGAUCGUCGGUAUCCCAAUACCUCGUUCAAUCUUGUUACCGGCAAGUCACUUUACUCGUUCCGUAAUGCAUGAUCCCGUGACUAACUACUUAGUCACAUUGAGCUCAUUAUGAUGAUGCAAUACCGAGUGGGCCCAGAGAUACCUCUCCAUCAUACGGAGUGACAAAUCCCAGUCUCGAUCCGUGCCAACCCAACAGACACGUUCGGAGAUACCUGUAGUGCACCUUUAUAGCCACCCAGUUACGUUGUGACGUUUGGUACACCCAAAGCAUUCCUACGGUAUCCGGGAGUUGCACGAUCUCAUGGUCUAAGGAGAUGAUACUUGACAUUAGAAAAGCUUUAGCAAACGAACUACACGAUCUAGUGCCAUGCUUAGGAUUGGGUCUUGUCCAUCACAUCAUUCUCCUAAUGAUGUUAUCCCGUUAUCAAUGACAUCCAAUGUCCAUGGUCAGGAAACCGUAACCAUCUAUUGAUCAACGAGCUAGUCAACUAGAGGCUCACUAGGGACAUGUUAUGGUCUAUGUGUUCACACAUGUAUUACGAUUUCCGGAUAACACAAUUAUAGCAUGAACAAUAGAUAAUUAUCAUGAACAAGGAAAUAUAAUAAUAACCAUUUUAUUAUUGCCUCUAGGGCAUAUUUCCAACAGUCUCCCACUUGCACUAGAGUCAAUAAUCUAGUUACAUUGUGAUGAAUCGUACACCCAUAGAGUUCUGGUGUUGAUCAUGUUUCGCCCGUGGAAGAGGUUUAGUCAACGGAUCUGCGACAUUCAAAUCCGUAUGCACUUUACAAAUAUCUAUGUCUCCAUUUUGAACAUUUUCACAAAUGGAGUUGAAGCGAUGCUUGAUGUGCCUGGUCUUCUUGUGAAACCUGGGCUCUUUGGCAAGGGCAAUAGCUCCAGUGUUGUCACAGAAGAGAGUCAUCGGCCCCGAUGCAUUGGGAAUAACUCCUAGGUCGGCAAUGAACUCCUUCAUCCAGAUUGCUUCAUGUGCUGCCUCCGAGGCUGCCAUGUACUCCGCUUCACAUGUAGAUCCCGCCACGACGCUUUGCUUGCAACUGCACCAGCUGACUGCCCCACCAUUCAAAAUAUACACGUAUCCGGUUUGUGACUUAGAGUCAUCCAGAUCUGUGUCGAAGCUAGCAUCGACAUAACCCUUUACGACGAGCUCUUCGUCACCUCCAUAAACGAGAAACAUAUCCUUAGUCCUUUUCAGGUACUUCAGGAUGUUCUUGACCGCUGUCCAGUGUUCCAUGCCGGGAUUACUUUGGUACCUUCCUACCAAACUUACGGCAAGGUUUACAUCAGGUCUGGUACACAGCAUGGCAUACAUAAUAGACCCUAUGGCCGAGGCAUAGGGGAUGACACUCAUCUUUUCUCUAUCUUCUGUCAUGGUCGGGCAUUGAGCCGUGCUCAAUUUCACGCCUUGCAAUACAGGCAAGAACCCCUUCUUGGACUGAUCCAUAUUGAACUUCUUCAAUAUCUUGUCAAGGUAUGUGCUUUGUGAAAGACCUAUGAGGCGUCUCGAUCUAUUUCUAUAGAUCUUGAUGCCUAAUAUGUAAGCAGCUUCUCCAAGGUCCUUCAUUGAAAAACACUUAUUCAAGUAGGCAUUUAUGUUUUCCAAGAAUUCUAUAUCAUUUCCCAUCAAUAGUAUGUCAUCCACAUAUAAUAUGAGAAAUGCUACAGAGCUCCCACUCACUUUCUUGUAAACACAGGCUUCUCCAUAAGUCUGUGUAAACCCAAACGCUUUGAUCAUCUCAUCAAAGCGAAUGUUCCAACUCCGAGAUGCCUGCACCAGCCCAUAGAUUGAGCGUUGGAGCUUGCAUACCUUGUCAGCAUUCUUAGGAUCGACAAAACCUUCCGGCUGCAUCAUAUAGAAUUCUUCCUUAAGGAAGCCGUUAAGGAAUGCUGUUUUGACGUCCCUUUGCCAUAUUUCAUAAUCGUACAAUGCGGCAAUUGCUAACAUGAUUCAGACGGACUUCAGCUUCGCUACGGGUGAGAAGGUCUCAUCGUAGUCAACUCCUUGAACUUGUCGAUAACCCUUAGCGACAAGUCUAGCUUUAUAGAUGGUAACAUUUCCAUCCGCGUCCGUCUUCUUCUUAAAGAUCCAUUUAUUUUCUAUCGCUCGCCGAUCAUCGGGCAAGUCUGUUAAAGUCCAUACUUUGUUUUCAUACAUGGAUCCUAUCUCGGAUUGCAUGGCUUCAAGCCAUUUGUUGGAAUCUGGGCUCGCCAUUGCUUCUUCAUAGUCUGAAGGUUCACCGUUGUCCAACAACAUGAUUUCCAGGACAGGGUUGCCGUACCACUCUGGUGCGGAACGUGUCCUUGUGGACCUACGAAGUUCAGUGGUAACUUGAUCAUGAUCGUCAUCAUUAACUUCCUCUCUAGUCGGUGCAGGCACCACAGAAACAUUUUCUUGUGCUGCGCUACUUUCUGGUUCGAGAGGGGUCAUCUCAUCAAGUUCCACUUUCCUCCCACUUACUUCUUUCGAGAGAAACUCUUUCUCCAGAAAGGACCCAUUCUUGGCAACGAAGAUCUUGCCUUCGGAUCUGAGGUAGAAGGUAUACCCAAUGGUUUCCUUAGGGUAUCCUAUUGUAACGCCCACGAUGCGGCUAUAUCUCCCACGUGUCGAGGCACGACUCAGAGGCAUAACCGCAUUGUAGGUAUUGUCGCAAGAAGGGUCAUCUUCACACAAUCCCAUGUAAUGAACAAGAAUGGGAUAACGAGAGUUGGCUUACAAUCGCCACUUCACACAACACAUAAAUAAAUUCAUACAUCAUCCAAAAUCCACACAUAGACCGACUACGGUCAAAUCCAAAAGAAAAUAAGAUAACCCCAAAUGCUAGAUCCCCGAUCGUCCCAACUGGGCUCCACUACUGAUCAUCAGGAAACGAAACAUAGUAACGACCACGUUCCUCGUCGAACUCCCACUUGAGCUCGGUUGCGUCAUCUGCACUGGUAUCAUCAGCACCUGCAACUGUUUUGGUAGAAUCUGUGAGUCACCUGCAACUGUUUUGGUAGAAUCUGUGAGUCAUGACUCACAGAUUCUACCAAAACAGUUGCAGGUGCCGAUGAUACCAGUGCAGAUGACGCAACCAAUCACAGAUUCUACCAAAACAGUUGCAGGUGCCGAUGAUAUCAGUGCAGAUGACACAACCGAGCUCAANNNNNNNNNNNNNNNNNNNNNNNNNNNNNNNNNNNNNNNNNNNNNNNNNNNNNNNNNNNNNNNNNNNNNNNNNNNNNNNNNNNNNNNNNNNNNNNNNNNNNNNNNNNNNNNNNNNNNNNNNNNNNNNNNNNNNNNNNNNNNNNNNNNNNNNNNNNNNNNNNNNNNNNNNNNNNNNNNNNNNNNNNNNNNNNNNNNNNNNNNNNNNNNNNNNNNNNNNNNNNNNNNNNNNNNNNNNNNNNNNNNNNNNNNNNNNNNNNNNNNNNNNNNNNNNNNNNNNNNNNNNNNNNNNNNNNNNNNNNNNNNNNNNNNNNNNNNNNNNNNNNNNNNNNNNNNNNNNNNNNNNNNNNNNNNNNNNNNNNNNNNNNNNNNNNNNNNNNNNNNNNNNNNNNNNNNNNNNNNNNNNNNNNNNNNNNNNNNNNNNNNNNNNNNNNNNNNNNNNNNNNNNNNNNNNNNNNNNNNNNNNNNNNNNNNNAGUUGGGACGAUCGGGGAUCUAGCAUUUGGGGUUAUCUUAUUUUCUUUUGGAUUUGACCGUGACUCACAGAUUCUACCAAAACAGUUGCAGGUGCCGAUGAUACCAGUGUAGAUGACGCAACCGAGCUCAAGUGGGAGUUCGACGAGGAACGUGGUCGUUACUAUGUUUCGUUUCCUGAUGAUCAGUAGUGGAGCCCAGUUGGGACGAUCGGGGAUCUAGCAUUUGGGGUUAUCUUAUUUUCUUUUGGAUUUGACCGUAGUCAGUCUAUGUGUGGAUUUUGGAUGAUGUAUGAAUUUAUUUAUGUAUUGUGUGAAGUGGCGAUUGUAAGCCAACUCUCGUUAUCCCAUUCUUGUUCAUUACAUGGGAUAGUGUGAAGAUGACCCUUCUUGCGACAAUACCUACAAUGCGGUUAUGCCUCUAAGUCGUGCCUCGACACGUGGGAGAUAUAGCCGCAUCAUGGGCGUUACACCUAUGAAGACGCAUUUUUCCGACUUGGGUUCGAGCUUUUCAGGUUGAAGUUUCUUGACAUAAGCAUCGCAUCCCCAAACUUUAAGAAACGACAGCUUAGGUUUCUUUCCAAACCAUAAUUCAUACGGUGUCGUCUCAACGGAUUUCGACGGAGCCCUAUUUAAAGUGAAUGCGGCAGUCUCUAAAGCAUAACCCCAGAAUGAUAGCGGUAGAUCGGUAAGAGACAUCAUAGAUCGCACCAUAUCCAAUAGAGUGCGAUUACGACGUCCGGACACACCAUUACGCUGAGGUGUUCCAGGCGGCGUGAGUUGUGAAACAAUUCCACAUUUCCUUAAGUGUGUGCCAAAUUCGUGACUCAAAUAUUCCCCUCCACGAUCUGAUCGUAAGAACUUUAUUUUCCUGUCACGUUGAUUCUCAACCUCACUCUAAAAUUCCUUGAACUUUUCAAAGGUCUCAGACUUUUGUUUCAUUAAGUAGACAUACCCAUAUCUACUCAAGUCAUCAGUGAGGGUGAGAACAUAACGAUAGCCACCGCGAGCCUCAACGCUCAUUGGACCGCACACAUCAGUAUGUAUGAUUUCCAAUAAGUUGGUUGCUCGCUCCAUUGUUCCGGAGAACGGAGUCUUGGUCAUUUUUUCCCAUGAGGCAUGGUUCGCACGUGUCAAAUGAUUCAUAAUCAAGAGACUCCAAAAGUCCAACUGCAUGGAGUUUCUUCAUGCGUUUGACACCAAUGUGACCAAGGCGGCAGUGCCACAAGUAUGUGGGACUAUCAUUAUCAACCUUACAUUUCUUGGCAUUCACACUAUGAAUAUGUGUAACAUUACGUUCGAGAUUCAUUAAGAAUAAACCAUUGACCAGCGGGGCAUGACCAUAAAACAUAUCUCUCAUAUAAAUAGAACAACCAUUAUUCUCUGAUUUAAAUGAGUAGCCAUCUCGCAUCAAACGAGAUCCAGAUACAAUGUUCAUGCUCAAAGCUGGCACUAAAUAACAAUUAUUGAGGUUUAAAACUAAUCCCGUAGGUAAAUGUAGAGGUAGCGUGCCGACGGCGAUCACAUCGACCUUGGAACCAUUCCCGACCUGCAUCGUCACCUCGUCCUUCGCCAGUCUCCGCUUAUUCCGCAGCUCCUGCUUUGAGUUACAAAUAUGAGCAACCGCACCGGUAUCAAAUACCCAGGAGCUACUACGAGCGCUGGUUAGGUACACAUCAAUAACAUGUAUAUCACAUAUACCUUUGGUAUUGCCGGCCUUCUUAUCCGCUAAGUACUUGGGGCAGUUCCACUUCCAGUGACCGUUUCCCUUGCAAUAAAAGCACUCAGUCUUAGGCUUGGGUCCAUUCUUUGUCUUCUUCCCGGCAGCUUGCUUACCGGGCGCGGCAACUCCCUUGCCGUCUUUCUUGAAGUUCUUCUUACCCUUGUCUUUCUUGAACUUAGUGGUUUUAUUCACCAUCAACACUUGAUGUUCCUUUUUGAUCUCCACCUCCGCUGAUUUCAGCAUUGAAUAUACCUCAGGAAUGGUCUUUUCCAUCCCCUGCAUAUUGAAAUUCAUCACAAAGCUCUUGUAGCUAGGUGGAAGCGACUGAAGGAUUCUGUCAAUGACCGCGUCAUCCGGGAGAUUAACUCCCAGCUAAGACAAGCGGUUGUGCAACCCAGACAUUUUGAGUAUGUGUUCGCUGACGGAACUAUUCUCCUCCAUCUUACAACUAUAGAACUUGUCGGAUACUUCAUAUCUCUCGACCCGGGCAUGAGCUUGGAAAACCAUUUUCAGCUCUUGGAACAUCUCAUAUGCUCCGUGCUGCUCGAAACGCUUUUGGAGCCCCGGUUCUAAGCUGUAAAGCAUGCCGCACUGAACCAGGGAGUAAUCAUCAACACGUGUUUGCCAGGCGUUCAUAACGUCUUGGUUUGCUGGGACGGGUGCUUCACCUAGCAGUGCUUCAAGGACAUAUGCUUUCUUGGCAGCUAUGAGGAUGAUCCUCAAGUUCCGGACCCAGUCCGUAUAGUUGCUACCAUCGUCUUUCAGCUUGGUUUUCUCUAGGAACACGUUGAAGUUGAGGUUGACAUUAACGUGGGCCAUUUGAUCUACAAUACAUAUUGUAAAGAUUUUAGACUAAGUUCAUGAUAAUUAAGUUCAUCUAAUCAAAUUAUUAAUGAACUCCCACUCAGACAGACAUCCCUCUAGUCAUCUAAGUGAUACAUGAUCCGAGUCAACUAGGCCGUGUCCGAUCAUCACGUGAGACGGACUAGUCAUCAUCGGUGAACAUCUUCAUGUUGAUCGUAUCAGCUAUACGACUCAUGUUCGACCUUUCGGUCUCUUGUGUUCCGAGGCCAUGUCUGUACAUGCUAGGCUUGUCAAGUCAACCUAAGUGUAUUGCGUGUGUAAAUCUGGCUUACACCCGUUGUAUGCGAACGUUAGAACCUAUCACACCCGAUCAUCACGUGGUGCUUCGGAACAACGAACCUUCGCAACGGUGCACAGUUAGGGGGAACACUUCCUUGAAAUUUUAGCGAGGGAUCAUCUUAUUUAUGCUACCGUCGUUCUAAGCAAAUAAGAUGUAAAACAUGAUAAACAUCACAUGCAAUCAAAUAGUGACAUGAUAUGGCCAAUAUCAUUUUGCUCCUUUUGAUCUCCAUCUUCGGGGCGCCAUGUUCAUCAUUGUCACCGGCAUGACACCAUGAUCUCCAUCAUCGUGUCUUCGUGAAGUUGUCUCGCCAACUAUUACUUCUACUACUAUGGCUAACGGUUAGCAAUAAAGUAAAGUAAUUACAUGACGUCUUAGUUGACACGCAGGUCAUAAAUAAAUUAAGACAACUCCUAUGGCUCUUGCCGGUUGUCAUACUCAUCGACAUGCAAGUUGUGAUUCCUAUUACAAGAACAUGAUCAAUCUCAUACAUCACAUAUAUCAUUCAUCACAUUCUUCUGGCCAUAUCACAUCACAUGACACAUGCCGCAAAAACAAGUUAGACGUCCUCUAAUUGUUGUUGCAAAUUUUUACGUGGCUGCUAUAGGUUUCUAGCAAGAACGUUUCUUACCUACGCCAAAGCCACAACGUGAUAUGCCAAUUUCUAUUUACCCUUCAUAAGGACCCUUUUCAUCGAAUCCGAUCCGACUAAAGUGGGAGAGACAGACACCCGCUAGCCACCUUAUGCAACUAGUGCAUGUCAGUCGGUGGAACCUGUCUCACGUAAGCGUACGUGUAAGGUCGGUCCGGGCCGCUUCAUCCCACGAUGCCGCCGAAUCAAGAUAAGACUAGUAACGGCAAGUAAAUUGACAAAAUCGACGCCCACAACAACUUGUGUUCUACUCGUGCAUAGAAACUACGCAUAGACCUAGCUCAUGAUGCCACUGUUGGGGAUCGUUGUAGAAAUUUAAAAUUUUCUAAGCAUCACCAAGAUCAAUCUAUGGAGUCAUCUAGCAACAAGAGAGAGAGGAGUGUUGGGAUCGAUGCAGAAAUUUAAAAUUUUCUACGCAUCACCAAGAUCAAUCUAUGGAGUAAUCUAGCACCGAGGGGAAGGGGAGUGCAUCUACAUACCAUUGUAGAUCGCUUUACUCGUUCCGUAACACAUCAUCCCGUGAUCAACUCCUUGGUCACAUUGUGCACAUUAUGAUGAUGUCCUACCGAGUGGGCCCAGAGAUACCUCUCCGUUUACACGGAGUGACAAAUCCCAGUCUCGAUUCGUGCCAACCCAACAGACACUUUUGGAGAUACCUGUAGUGCACCUUUAUAGCCACCCAGUUACGUUGUGACGUUUGGUACACCCAAAGCAUUCCUACGGUAUCCGGGAGUUGCACAAUCUCAUGGUCUAAGGAAAUGAUACUUGACAUUAGAAAAGCUUUAGCAAACGAACUACACGAUCUUGUGCCAGGCUUAGGAUUGGGUCUUGUCCAUCACAUCAUUCUCCUAAUGAUGUGAUCCCGUUAUCAACGACAUCCAAUGUCCAUGGUCAGGAAACCGUAACCAUCUAUUGAUCAACGAGCUAGUCAACUAGAGGCUUACUAGGGACAUGGUGUUGUCUAUGUAUCCACACAGGUAUCUGAGUUUCCUAUCAAUACAAUUCUAGCAUGGAUAAUAAACGAUUAUCAUGAACAAGGAAAUAUAAUAAUAACCAAUUUAUUAUUGCCUCUAGGGCAUAUUUCUAACAGUCUCCCACUUGUACUAGAGUCAAUAAUCUAGUUCACAUCGCCAUGUGAUUAACACUCACAGGUCACAUCACCAUGUGACUAACAUCCAAAGAGUUUACUAGAGUCAAUAAUCUAGUUCACAUCACUAUGUGAUUAACACUCAAUGAGUUCUGGGUUUGAUCAUGUUAUGCUUGUGAGAGAGGUUAUAGUCAACGGGUCUGCAACAAUCAGAUCCGCAUGUACUUCGCAAAACUUUAUGUCAUAUCAUAGAUGCUGCUACCACGUUCCACUUGGAGCUAUUCCAAAUGGUUGCUCCAUUAUACAUAUCCGGUUUUUCUACUCAUAGUCAUCCGGAUAGGUGUUAAAGCUUGCAUCGACGUAACUCUUAACGUCGAACUCUUUAUCACCUCCAUAACCGAGAAAUAUUUCCUUAUUCCUCUAAGGACAAUUUUGACAACUGUCCAGUGAUCCACUCCUGGAUCACCUUUGUACCCUCUUGCCAGACAUGUGGCAAGGCACAAAUCAGGUGCGGUACUCAGCAUGGCAUACCGUAUAGAGCCUAUGACAAAAGCAUAGGGGACGACCUUCGUCCUUCCUCUUUCUUCUGCCGUGAUCAAGCUUUGAGUCUUACUCAACUUCACACCUUACAACUCAGGUAAGAACUCCUUCUUUGACUGGUCUAUUUUGAACUCCUUCAAAAUCAUGUCAAAGGUGUGUGUUCUUUUGAAAGUAUCAUCGGGCGUCUUGAUCUAUCUCUAUAGAUCUUGAUGCCCAAUAUGUAAGCAGCUUUAUCCAGGUCUUCCUUUGAAAAUCACUUUUCAAACACCCGUUUAUGCUUUCCAGAAAUUCUACAUCAUUUCGGAUCAACAAUAUGUCAUCCACAUAUACUUAUCAGAAAUGUUGUAGUGCUCCCACUCACUUUCUUGUAAAUACAAGUUUCUAGCAAACAUUGUAUAAACCUAAAAACUUUGAUCAAUGCAUAUAUUCCGACUCCGAGAUGCUUGCUCUAAUCCAUAGAAGGAUCGCUGGAGCCAGCAUACCUUUUAGCAUCCUUAGGAUCGACAAAACCUUUGAUUGUAUCACAUACAACCUUUUCUUACGAAAACUGGUAAGAAAACUUGUUUUGACAUCCAUCUGUCAGAUUUCAUAAUCGAAAAAUACAGCUAAUGCUAACAUGAAUCCGACGGACUUAAGCAUCGCUACGGGUGAGAAAAUCUCAUCGUAGUCAACUCCUUGAACUUGUGAAAAACUCUUUGCCACAAGUCGAGCUUCUGUCACACCCCUAGCUUCUCGUAUUGCACUAGGCUAACUUCAUGUGUGCAUCAUGUUUAAACUUUGAAAGAAACUUGAAAUGGGGAUUGCCUAAACCCUAGCAUUAAAGGAAUUCACUAGGUUCAACCAAAAUAUUUCUAGUAAAUCCAAAUGGCUUUCAAAAAUGUUCAUCAUUCUUGGAAAAUGCUGGAAAUAGUAACCAGAGGUGAUGCACAUUUUUCCAUGACAUAUUUGGGCUCUGGAUUAAAUCAUACUCUAUUUGCAUUUGGGCAUUUAAAUGCUAUUAAAUAUUUUAAAUGCUCAAAUAAUCAUAAACUAAAAUGUUUACUGUAGGAUAUAUUCCCAACAGUGAUCAUGAGUAGUUUCAUGAGUUUAGGAAGUGUCUAAGUAUUUUUAAUAAAGCCCUAAAGUCUACAGAAUAUUAGAAAACAGAAACAAAUAAAAAAGGAGAGAAAGGAUACCUACCUGGCCUCACCUGUCGCAGCCCACCUGGCCAGCCCACCUGGCCGGCCCAGCCCAGCGCCGUGCCAGUCAUCCCCCACCUCUGCCAGUAGGCAGAGGAGGGACACCGCGACGCCGCCGCGCGCGCCACGGCGUCUCCUGCUUGCCGCCCGCGCCUCUGGAGGAUCUGGACGACGCCCACGUCGCCCGCUCGACCGCCCCGAUACCUCAUUCCCCCCUGGUUCUCUCUCUCGCCCUCUCCUCGCCAUGGCCGAAGCAGCCGUCGCCGUCCCGCCGACGUAGUCGCGCCCACCGUGCUCCCCUUGCCUCUCCGACGCGCUCCCAAGCUCCGCCUCAUCGCCAUCGCCAUCUCCGUCGACGCACGCGACGCCGAACGCCCCAAGCGACGACCCGAGCUCUUCUCCAACCUCCGGCCGCCGGAGAUCGCCUCCGCCGCACCGCCCGCUCCGGACCGUCUCCGAGCUCGCCGACCUGCUCGUCCGACUCGCCGUGAGCCACUGACCCGAACCCCCCUCCUCUGCUCUCCAUUUGCACGCUGUAGCCGUCGCUCCGCCGGAGACCGAACCCCGCCGUCGCCCGCGCUCGUCGCCGGUGCUGCUCCGGUGACCAUUUGGCCCCGGGCAUGCGUCCAUCGUACUCACCGCACCACGUAGACGCCGUAGGUGCUAAACGCACAUCGCCACGGCCACCGCAACCGCGUCCCCGCUCUCUGCCGACUCCGGCCGCCGCAAAGCUCGUCGCCGUCGCCACUCCGGCCACACCCCGGCCGCGCCACCCCCACGGUUGGAUGCGGACGAGCGUCCGCAUCCCGUAGCUGUGCUCCGCGCGCCAAACGGCGCCCCAUAGGGCAAACCCGUGGCUCGCCGCCGCGUCUGGCCUCGCCGGCGUCGAGUCGCCGGCAGGUUUGACCGAGUUGACCAGGGUUUGACCCCCUAGGUCAUUAACAUGUGGGCCCGAGGCCCUGCUAAUUUAGUUUAGAUGCUAAUUAAAUUUUAGCUAACCCACUGACUCGCUGACUGUGGGCCCCAGCCCUUCUAAUUACUUUAGUUAGGAUUUAACGAAACCCUGGUUAGCACUGAGUCAAUGACAGGUGGGCCACACCUGUCAGGUUUGACCUGGACGGUCCUGUUGACCAGCUGACGCCAGCAUGACUUAAUGCUGACGCAUUAAUUUAAUUACUGGAAUUAUUUUUAUACAGGAAAUUCCAGAAAAUACCCUAAACUUCUAAAAAUCAUAGAAAAUAAUCUAUAGCUCAGAAUGAAAAGAUUUAUAUAUGAAAAAUGAUCAGAAAAAUCCAAUCUAUCCAUCUGUACUGGUUUCAUGCAUGUUAGAGCAACCUAACCAUGCUGUUUAGAUGAAACAAGAUAAUGCACUUAUAUGACUCUAUAAAAUGGGUUUGCAUUUGAAUCUUUGGUUCAAAUGGACUCAUCUCAAUCUGUUCUAGCUUGCAUUAGCCCAUAACACAUUCAUAUUGCCAUGUCAUGAUCAUGCAUCAUAUUGUGCAUUGCAUUGAUUGUAUUUCUUCUCUGUUGCCGGUAUUUGUCCCCUCUCGGUAGACGAUGUUCCGGCAUUGUGAUCGUUGACACUAAUGAAGACUCAAUGCUAUCUUCAGAAGUUCCAGGCAAGCAAAACCUCCUUGUUCAUUCCGAUACAAUCCCACUCUCUCGCUCCUGCUCUCUUUUACUGCAUUAGGACAACAACGAUUCAUCUGUUACUUGCUGCGGUAGCUGAACCCCUUUAUCCUCUGCAUGACCUGUCAUUGCCACAAUAAAUAGAUGAAACCCACUAGCAUGAGUAGGAGUUGUUUGAGCCCUGAUGUGCCUACUCAUUCAUGCUUGUUGUCGUGCUUGCUAUUGCUUAGAGUUGUGUCAGGUCUGAUUCAUCGGGGAUGAAUUGGAAAGUGGUGAACAUGUCCUACUGUGUGAGAGCUAAGUGUGUGAACACGAUUUGGUAAAGGUAGAAGUGAGAGGCCAUGUAGGAGUACAUGGUGGGUUGUCUCAUUGGAACCGUCCUCAGGAACUGAGUUCUGUGUUUGUGAUCCAUGAACAGUUACUACCACACAUUGGGUUCCGGUAACUCGACCCCUCUCGACUUAUUAAUCAACUUGAUCUCUGUCCAGGAGUUGCAACUAGUUUCUGGUGUUUGUAGGUAGUGUUAGUAGUCUACCAAGUGGCACCCGGUACAGGUGGGAUUGGGACAGACUAGGCACACGUGGCCUGGUGUACCGAGUGGCACCCGGAUGGUGGGCUCGGGAACCCUGCACACAUCGUUUGGGGCUGUGAGCGACACCCCGGCCGGAUCUCCUUGCGGAUGGAACCCGAAUAGGCGAUAAACCUGGACGAGAGACUUGUGUGGUUAGUCAGGUCGUGGCCGACUCCCUCGCCAGGCUUCCGCUUGAAGGUUGCCGAGGUACACGACGUGUACAUGGUGGUAAGUGGCGAGAGCGUGUGUGAAGAAGUACACCCCUGCAGGGUUAAUAUGAUCUAUUCGAAUAGCCGUGUCCGCGGUAAAGGACUUCUGGGUCGCCUGUACAGUUCAUAGACAAGUGAAAGUGGAUACUCUAAAAUGCGCAAGAUAAGCGUGAGUGCUAUGGAUGGCGUUCUCAUAGGGAGACGGGAGCGGAUCCAUAGUGGUGUAUUGGUAUGGUGAAUUUGUGGACUCGUGUGCGCCACCUCAAAAGAGUUACUUGCAGUUGUAGUUCAGGAUAGCCACCGAGUCAAAGCUGGCUUGCUGCAGUUAAACUCCACCACCCCUUUUGUUGAUACCGAUGCAUAUGUAGAUAGUCCUGAUGUAAGUCUUGCUGGGUACAUUUGUACUCACGUUUGCUUAUUUUAUGUUUUGCAGAGAGACGUCAGUCUCGCUAGUAGUUCCGUGUGGACUUCGUCGUUUAGCUUGAUACCUCAGCUACGAUCUUGUGCCCUCGGCAGGAUCUAGUAGAUAGUCAGGCUUCUCAGCCUUUUUCAUUUAUAGUUGUCUGUACUCAGACAUGUUAAGCUUCCGCAUGUGCUUUGGCUUGUAUGCUCUGAAUGUUGGGUCAUGAGACCCAUGUUUGUAAUAUCUCGCUCUUCGGAGCCUAAUGAAUAAAUACUCUGAGUCGUAGAGUCUUGUUGUGAUGCCAUGUUGUAUUUGCGCAUAUCGAGCAUAUUGUGUGUAUGAUUGAAAUGCUUGGUAUGUGUGGGAUCCGACAACCUAGUUGUUUAUCCUUGGUAGCCUCUCUUAUGGGGAAAUGUAGUCUUGUGCUUCCAUGAGCCAUAGUAGUCCGCUACAGCCCGGUUCACCGGAGUCCUGCUAGCCCAGCACUACUGCUUCGGAACACUUGACUGGCCGGCAUGUGAUUCACUUCGUUCAUGUGUCUGUCCCUUCGGGGAAAUGUCACGCGGUGACAUCCGGAGUCCUGUCUAGCCUGCUACAACCCGGUUCACCGGAGUCCUGUUAGCCCAGUGCUACAGCCCGGAUUCGCACGCUGCUGACCGACAUGCUCGAUGUUGAUUCAUGUAUGCCUGUCCCCGUAAGUUAGUGCCACUUUGGGUUCACGACUAGUCAUGUCGGCCCGGGUUCUCUGUCAUAUGGAUGCUAGCGACACUAUCAUAUACGUGAGCUAAAAGUCACAAACGGUCCCGGGCCAUGGUAAGGCGACACCCGUGGGAGUACCGUGCGUGAGGCCGCAAAGUGAUAUGAGGUGUUACCGGCUAGAUCGAUGUGACUUGGAAUCGGGGUCCCGACAGCUUUGGUAUCAGAGCCUGACUGCCUGUAGGAUUACCAAGCCAAACUGGUCGAAGUUGAGUCCAGAAAUGCUUUAGUGAUAUAAGGGAAUUGAUUGUGGAAGGGAACGUAAGGCUCUUUUACUCCUUUACCUUAUAGCCUUCUGAUCUGAGUCAUCCUCUUCUCUUAUACGGGGAUUAAGAACUAGGCUUCUCAUCUUUCUAUCAGGAUCACGUGUUACUAAUCCGUAGACUCGUAGGAUUGUUGGUCUGAAGCCUCAGUUCAGUUUCUACUACUUCCAUGUGUUGAUAGUUCAUCCCAGAACCUUGAUAUGAUGUUGUUAAGUGACUAUGCAAAUCCUUGUAAAUGUCUCAAAUCCUUUCUGAGCAUUUACAGCCGUUAUGCUGUCCGAGUCAUCCCAGGUUUCUAAACAAUCUGAUGCAUUUGCAAAAUCCUUUCCCUCUAUUUUUGCGUCCCUUUGGGCCAGAUUAAGCACACUACCGGUGCGUUGAGGCACUCUUUUGCCUCGGUAUAUAUGUUGGAGCUAUUAUUAUGACCCUAGGUGUUUUAGGGAGUCACCUAGUAAUGUAGCCAUGUUUUGUGUUCCCGGUGUGAUGAUUCUGGCCACCAUUCUCGAAAGAAUCUCGUGAUGCUAUUUAGUAGUAGGUAUUCUACUCUUGGGUUCUUGACCCAAGAUUCACUCUACUUACCUCAUGUUGAUAGUGUUGCUCGUACCUUUAGGAUAUUAGUAACCUUUGCAAUAGCCCUCGAGGUCCGUGGUAUACCAUUCUUCCAAAUACCAUGAACCAUCCUUGGCAGAAGCUCCUCGUUGAACCAAAAGAUCACAACAAGAGUGCUCUCGAUGAGUUCUCCAUUCUACAUUGUGAAUCUGCCAGUUCUACCUUUCUGCAUGGGUUAUCCGGAAGAAAUAUGUUGAACUUGUUCGACAUACUAACCUAUGCGCCCACAACUCAAAAAGUUAUAUGUUCCUUUGAGUUGUCCCUCUUCAGUCGUAUUCCGACCUUCAUCUAUCAAUUGAUAGUCAAGGGUAUGUGUACGAUCGUGUUCAUCGAUGCCUAUUAUUCUUGUGGUCUGUCAAGCCAUUCUAUUCCGGAAUGACUAGGAGAAACAAACUCCGGUACCUCGUCCAUAUCUAGGAUUGGGUCAAAGAAAUUGUAUUCCGCAGACCAAAAUGUCAAUCCAGCUUUUGCUCUGCUCUACCUUGGAGCGUUACCAUCUUUAUGUCAAGAGUGUCAUGAGAAUUGCACCACCUCUUAUGAAUUCUUGACGCAGUGAUACUUCUCGCCAUCAUUAUUCAUUCCUCGGUCCCGUGUUGUCACAACCGGAAUACCGACAAGUGAACUGUGAUGUGUGAAAUCAAUACUCUGAGCAACUCGUUGCUUGGUAGUUAAUGGCAAUACUCUCAUUCUUAGCGUGCUGGUUAUUGAAUCAUCAUCCUAAGAUUGAUCGUGCUACCUAGUCCUUAUUUUUGGUGCACUCUUCAAUCAGUGAGUUAGGAUUUUUGUCAAACCCUUGCUCAGUUGAUCAUAUCGUCUUGCCCUGAAAAGCAAGAUUGUUCUCGAGCUUAGUAACAUAUGGGUGGUACGUGAUUUUCCGAAUAUCUUCUCGGAAGUAUCACCAAGUCGUCACCUGACCGCUAUGUUGAGUUCGUGAUCAUGUUGGUAUUCUUGUAAACCACCCUUUCUCCAAGAAUCUGUGUUGGAUACCCCUGAGCUAGUUGGUUAAGCCAAACAACAACUUGGAGAGUUGGAAGAUAAAAUCUUGCCUGGCUUAGUUCAUUCUAAGGGAUAUCUUUUUGUGUGUGUGUUGAAGAAAGAUGAUAUCUUCAUUGAUUGAUCCUUGUGAUCAAUUGUUGGAUCUACUGUCUUGUCAAUACUUUGAUUUGAGUGUGGGCUAUCGUCAAAUCAAAUCAGAACCAACGAUGUUCAUAAUGUUGUCUUACUCGUGGUUGUUUCCUCGAGCAUACACCAUUAUAUUCUUUGGGUCUGACCAAUGCUAUCACUUGUUCACAUAAUUAUGGAAGUCCAUCUCCAUUGGAAUUUUGAUAAAUUGUUGCUGAGCCCAUCGGCAACAUUCUUAUCUUCUCCAUGACUCGUGUUGAACAUUAAGUUAGUGUUGGAAACUUGUGCUAGCAUUUUCUUCGUGCUAUCUCAUGAAGGAUAUGUUUGGAUGAAAGAAGUGACUUUCUUUAAUUCACGUGCACUUGAUGUAAGGUGUCGCCGUGGAUCCGAGAAAGAUUGUUUUUGUUUUCUCUGGAACCAUCCCAAGUUAGUCAUGCAUGUGCAAAGUAUGCUAUGGUUUGAUAGGCUCGCUACCUCCAUUCUAUAUGUGUUCCUAGCACACCAAGCCACUGAUUGAUUUGUUCAAGGAAAAGGAGCUUGUUGUGCUAAUUCUAGAUCAUGCACAAGACUCCAAUAUCCUCGAUGAUGGUUCCCCACCUGAACUCGGUAGUGUUUUAUCACAAGACUACUAUGUGGUCAUGCUUGUCCGGGAUAGCGUGUUCACAUAUGUUUAGCAGAACCAACUCAUGUUUUGGAGCUUGCUACCGUAGCUCAUUUCCCGAGAAUCUCGCAACGUCAUCUCGUCGAUUUGUGUUGCAAACCUUCAUUUUCUUCUAGACUCGAUGAGUCUGGAAUAUCCUGUUACCAACCAUAUUUGAGUCUCGGGCAGAUAUGAUGGUUGGAACAUUUUCCAAGAAUUAUAAUAUUGGUCUCUGUGUAACCCGGUAAGUGGAUGUCCUAGCCAACACACCCAGCCGGAAGACCUAUUAUUGUAGUAUCCUGAUUGAUAAAGUUGGCCACCUCCCCAUAAGGAUUCCGUAGGAUUUACUUCCGUAGUUAUUCCUUAUGGAUUCUUGUGUUUCUGAAGUUCGACCUUUACUUGAUGGCCGUGUUGAUGUUUUAAGCAUUGACCGUGUUACGCUAGCACAUCAAGGAGAACAUUAGAAGCGGAGUGCUAAAUGUCUCUCGGUCGAUCAUCCAGAUUUUGCUCCCUUGGCUUCGCUAAGGUGAAAUCUGAGAAAGUGUUGUCCUCCUUUGCACCUGCAUCCUCCAUCACCGUUCAUCAUGGUAGUAUGUUGUGUUGCCAGGAUCCUCGACACGGAUAAUGGUAAAACCUUGAUGAAUAUGGAAAUGCUCAAGUUCUUGAGAGCACGCGCAAGCAAAAUCAUCCAUCGCGUUGUCUUCAACAAGGUAGUCCACAUCAUCCAUUCUAGUCCGAUUAUGUCAUUCUUUUGAACUCCUUCAAACGCUCGUUUGUGAAUUUCCUUAGGCUGGUAUAGGGAGUUCCAAUGAUCUCUGUAUCAAAAGUAAUUCUUUUUGCCACUUAAGGGAUAAUUCCACGAGUCACCCCCUCUAAGAUGUCUCGUUAUGGAAUCGUGGCAACUAUCUCCUCGCUACUUUGAAACCAUGCACCAUCCUACCCAAGCGUGGAGUUGUUGCCUACCAAAUUGAACCCUCGUCAUUGCUACCUUUCCUCGUUCCAGAUGUGUGUUUUGUGUGUCAGCUCAAGAGAUGUUUCAAUGUCUCACUCCAUGAGUUGAUCGUGAGUUGCCAACCUUUGUGAAGAUUGGAUCCUAUAGAGUUUCCCUCUCUUCCGUCGUCAUAGUUGGAUGAAGAUCUCGAAAGCAAAGACGACAAGAUCAAUUUGAAGAAAUGAGUCAACAUCUUCGAUGAGGGUAUUGGAUCGAGAAGAUUGUGUUGGCUUUUGUGUCCCCUUUUCCUCUUACCCUACGCUUGAAUCUCGGGACAAGAUUCUUGUUUAGUGGGGGCGAGUUGUCACAUCCCUAGCUUCUCGUAUUGCACUAGGCUAACUUCAUGUGUGCAUCAUGUUUAAACUUUGAAAGAAACUUGAAAUGGGGAUUUCCUAAACCCUAGCAUUAAAGGAAUUCACUAGGUUCAACCAAAAUAUUUCCAGUAAAUCCAAAUGGCUUUCAAAAAUGUUCAUCAUUCUUGGAAAAUGCUGGAAACAGUAACCAGAGGUGAUGCACAUUUUUCCAUGACAUAUUUGGGCUCUGGAUUAAAUCAUACUCUAUUUGCAUUUGGGCAUUUAAAUGCUAUUAAAUAUUUUAAAUGCUCAAAUAAUCAUAAACUAAAAUGUUUACUGUAGGAUAUAUUCCCAACAGUGAUCAUGAGUAGUUUCAUGAGUUUAGGAAGUGUCUAAGUAUUUUUAAUAAAGCCCUAAAGACUACAGAAUAUUAGAAAACAGAAACAAAUAAAAAGAAGGAGAGAAAGGAUACCUACCUGGCCUCACCUAGCGCAGCCCAGCUGGCCAGCCCAGCCCAGCGCCGUGCCAGUCAUCCCCCACCUCUGCCAGUAGGCAAAGGAGGGACACCGCGACGCCGCCGCGCGCGCCACGGCGUCUCCUGCUUGCCGCCACGGCGUCUCCAACCUCCGGCCGCCGGAGACCGAACCCCGCCGUCGCCCGCGCUCGUCGCCGGUGCUGCUCCGGUGACCAUUUGGCCCCGGGCAUGCGUCCAUCGUACUCACCGCACCACGUAGACGCCGUAGGUGCUAAACGCGCAUCGCCACGGCCACCGCAACCGCGUCCCCGCUCUCUGCCGACUCCGGCCGCCGCAAAGCUCGUCGCCGGCGCCACUCUGGCCACUCCCCGGCCGCGCCACCCCCACGGUUGGAUGCGGACGAGCGUCCGCAUCCCGUAGCUGUGCUCUGUGCGCCAAACGGCGCCCCGUAGGGCAAACCCGUGGUUCGCCGCCGCGUCUGGCCUCGCCGGCGUCGAGUCGCCGGCAGGUUUGACCGAGUUGACCAGGGUUUGACCCCCCUAGGUCAUUAACAUGUGGGCCCGAGGCCCUGCUAAUUUAGUUUAGAUGCUAAUUAAAAUUUAGCUAACCCACUGACUCGCUGACUGUGGGCCCCAGCCCUUCUAAUUACUUAGCACUGAGUCAAUAACAGGUGGGCCACACCUGUCAGGUUUGACCUGGACGGUCCUGUUGACCAGCUGACGCCAGCAUGACUUAAUGCUGACGCAUUAAUUUAAUUACUAGAAUUAUUUUUAUACAGGAAAUUCCAGAAAAUACCCUAAACUUCUAAAAAUCAUAGAAAAUAAUCUAUAGCUCAGAAUGAAAAGAUUUAUAUAUGAAAAAUGAUCAGAAAAAUCCAAUCUAUCCAUCUGUACUGGUUUCAUGCAUGUUAGAGCAACCUAACCAUGCUGUUUAGAUGAAACAAGAUAAUGCACUUAUAUGACUCUAUAAAAUGGGUUUGCAUUUGAAUCUUUGGUUCAAAUGGACUCAUCUCAAUCUGUUCUAGCUUGCAUUAGCCCAUAACACAUUCAUAUUGCCAUGUCAUGAUCAUGCAUCAUAUUGUGCAUUGCAUUGAUUGUAUUUCUUCUCUGUUGCCGGUAUUUGUCCCCUCUCGGUAGACGAUGUUCCGGCGUUGUGAUCGUUGACACUAAUGAAGACUCAAUGCUAUCUUCAGAAGUGCCAGGCAAGCAAAACCCCCUUGUUCAUUCUGAUACAAUCCCACUCUCUCGCUCCUGCUCUCUUUUACUGCAUUAGGACAACAACGAUUCAUCUGUUACUUGUUGCGGUAGCUGAACCCCUUUAUCCUCUGCAUGACCUGUCAUUGCCAUAUUAAAUAGAUGAAACCCACUAGCAUGAGUAGGAGUUGUUUGAGCCCUGAUGUGCCUACUCAUUCAUGCUUGUUGUCGUGCCUGCUAUUGCUUAGAGUUGUGUCAGGUCUGAUUCAUCGGGGAUGAAUUGGAAAGUGGUGAACAUGUCCUACUGUGUGAGAGCUAAGUGUGUGAACACGAUUUGGUAAAGGUAGCGGUGAGAGGCCAUGUAGGAGUACAUGGUGGGUUGUCUCAUUGGAACCGUCCUCAGGAACUGAGUUCUGUGUUUGUGAUCCAUGAACAGUUACUACCACACAUUGGGUUCCGGUAACUCGACCCCUCUCGACUUAUUAAUCAACUUGAUCUCUGUCCAGGAGUUGCAACUAGUUUCUGGUGUUUGUAGGUAGUGUUAGUAGUCUACCAAGUGGCACCCGGUACAGGUGGGCUUGGGACAGACUAGGCACACGUGGCCUGGUGUACCGAGUGGCACCCGGAUGGUGGGCUCGGGAACCCUGCACACAUCGUUUGGGGCCGUGAGCGACACCCCGGCCGGAUCUCCUUGCGGAUGGAACCCGAAUAGGCGAUAAACCUGGAUGAGAGACUUGUGUGGUUAGUCAGGUCGUGGCCGACUCCCUCGCCAGGCUUCCGCUUGAAGGUUGCCGAGGUACACGACGUGUACAUGGUGGUAAGUGGCGAGAGCGUGUGUGAAGAAGUACACCCCUGCAGGGUUAAUAUGAUCUAUUCGAAUAGCCGUGUCCGCGGUAAAGGACUUCUGGGUCGCCUGUACAGUUCAUAGACAAGUGAAAGUGGAUACUCUAAAAUGCGCAAGAUAAGCGUGAGUGCUAUGGAUGGCGUUCUCGUAGGGAGACGGGAGCGGAUCCAUAGUGGUGUAUUGGUAUGGUGAAUUUGUGGACUCGUGUGCGCCACCUCAAAAGAGUUACUUGCAGUUGUAAUUCAGGAUAGCCACCGAGUCAAAGCUGGCUUGCUGCAGUUAAACUCCACCACCCCUUUUGUUGAUACCAAUGCAUAUGUAGAUAGUCCUGAUGUAAGUCUUGCUGGGCACAUUUGUACUCACGUUUGCUUAUUUUAUGUUUUGCAGAGAGACGUCAAUCUCGCUAGUAGUUCCGUGUGGACUUCGACGUUUAGCUUGAUACCUCAGCUACGAUCUUGUGCCCUCGGCAGGAUCUAGUAGAUAGUCAGGCUUCUCAGCCUUUUUCAUUUAUAGUUGUCUGUACUCAGACAUGUUAAGCUUCCGCAUGUGCUUUGGCUUGUAUGCUCUGAAUGUUGGGUCAUGAGACCCAUGUUUGUAAUAUCUCGCUCUUCGGAGCCUAAUGAAUAAAUACUCUGAGUCAUAGAGUCUUGUUGUGAUGCCAUGUUGUAUUUGCACAUAUCGAGCAUAUUGUGUGUAUGAUUGAAAUGCUUAGUAUGUGUGGGAUCCGACAACCUAGUUGUUUAUCCUUGGUAGCCUCUCUUAUGGGGAAAUGUAGUCUUGUGCUUCCAUGAGCCAUAGUAGUCCGCUACAGCCCGGUUCACCGGAGUCCUGCUAGCCCAGCACUACUGCUCCGGAACACUUGACUGGCCGGCAUGUGAUUCACUUCGUUCCUGUGUCUGUCCCUUCGGGGAAAUGUCACGCGGUGACAUCCGGAGUCCUGCCUAGCCUGCUACAACCCGGUUCACCGGAGUCCUGUUAGCCCAGUGCUACAGCCCGGAUUCGCACGCUGCUGACCGACAUGCUCGAUGUUGAUUCAUGUAUGCCUGUCCCCGUAAGUUAGUGCCACUUUGGGUUCACGACUAGUCAUGUCGGCCCGGGUUCUCUGUCACAUGGAUUCUAGCGACACUAUCAUAUACGUGAGCUAAAAGACGCAAACGGUCCCGGGCCAUGGUAAGGCGACACCCGUGGGAAUACCGUGCGUGAGGCCGCAAAGUGAUAUGAGGUGUUACCGGCUAGAUCGAUGUGACUUGGAAUCGGGGUCCCGACAGCUUCAUAGACGGUAACAUCACCGUCCACGUCCGUCUUCUUCUUAAAGAUCCAUUUAUCUCAAUAGCUUGCCGAUCAUCGGGCAAGUCCACCAAAGUCCAUACUUUGUUCUGAUACAUGGAUCCUAUCUCGGAUUUCAUGGCUUCUAACCAUUUGUCGGAAUACGGGCCCACCAUCGCUUCUCCAUAGCUCGUAGGUUCAUUGUUGUCUAACAACAUGAUAUCUAAGACAGGAUUACCGUACCACUCAGGAGUAGUACAUAUCCUUGUCGACCUACGAGGUUCGAUAGCAACUUGAUCCGAAGCUUCAUGAUCACUAUCACUAACUUCCUCUUCAACAGGCGUAGGCGCCACAGAAACAUCUUUCUGUGUUGCACUACUUUCCGGUUGAAGUAGAGGUUCAACAACCUCAUCAAGUUCUAUCUUCCUCCCACUCAAUUCUUUCGAGAGAAACUCCUUCUCGAGAAAGGACCCGUUCUUGUGACAAACAAUUUGCCCUCGGAUCUAAGAUAGAAGGUAUACCCAACUGUCACCUUUGGGUAUCCUAUGAAGAUGUGUUUGUCCGCUUUGGGUUCGAGCUUCUCCGGCUGAAGCCUUAAGCAUUGCAGCCCCAAACAUUAAGAAACGACAACUUUGGUUUCUUGCCAAACCAAUGUUCAUAUGACGUCGUCUCAACGGACAUAGAUGGUGCCCUAUCUAAAGUGAAUGCAGCUGUCUCUAACGCAUAAUCUCAAAAUGAUAGCGGUAGAUCGCUAAGAGACAUCAUAGAUCGCACCAUAUCUCAUAAGGUUCGAUUACGACGUCCGGACACACCAUUUCGUUGUGGUGUUCCAGGUGGCUUCAACUGUGAAACAAUUCCACAAUGUCUUAAGUGAUUGCCAAACUCAUAACUCAGAAAUUCUCCCUCGAUCAGAUCGUAGGAAUUUGAUCUUCUUGUUAUGAUGGUUCUUAACUUCACUCUGAAAUUGCUUGAACUUUUCAAACGUUUCAGACUUGUGCUUCAUUAAGUAAAUAUACCCAUAUCUACUCAAAUCGUCAAUGAAGAUGAGAAAAUAACGAUAUCCACCACACGCCUUAAUUCUCAUUGGAUCACGCACAUCAGCAUGUAUGAUUUCCAACAAGUCACUUGCCCGUUUCAUUGUACCUGAAAACGGGAUCUUAGUCAUCCUGCCCAUGAGGCAUGGCUCGCAUGUGUCAAGCGAUUCAAAAUCAAGUGACUCCAAACAUCCAUCAGCAUGGAGUUUCUUCAUGCAUUUUAUGCCAAAAUGACCUAAGCGGCAAUGUCACAAGAAAGUGGUACUAUCAUUAUUAACUCUACAUCUUUUUGGCAUGAACAUGUGUAUUACCACGACCGAGAUUCAAUGAACCAUUCACAUAGGGUGCAUGACCAUGAAAGGUAUUAUUCAUGUAAACAGAAUAACCAUUAUUUUCUAACUUAAAUGAAUAAUCGUAUUGCAAUGAACAUGAUCUAAUCAUAUUCACGCUCAACGUAGACACCUGAUAACAUUUAUCUAGGUCCAAUACUAAUCCCGAAGGCAGAUGGAGCGUGCGAUGGUGAUCUCAUCAACUUUGGAAACACUUCCAACACACAUCGUCACCUCGCCCUUAGCCAGUCUCCGUUUAGUCCGUAGCUUUUGCUUCAAGUCACCAAUAAUAGCAACUGAACCGGUAUCUAAUACCCAGGUGCUACCGGGAGUACUAGUAAGGUACACAUUAAUAACACGUACAUACUUUGUUGAAGUUGACAGCCUUCUUAUCUACCAUGCAUUUGGGGUAGUUCCGCUACCAGUGACCGUUCCCCUUACAAUAGAAGCACUUAGUCUCGGGUUUGGGUUCAACCUUGGGUUCCUUCAUUGGAGCGGCAGCUGGUUUACCAUUCAUGAAGUUUCCCUUCCAGCCCUUGCCCUUCUUGAAACCAGUGGUCUUGUUAAACCAUCAACACUUGAUGCUCCUUCUUGAUUUCUACUUUUUGCGGUCUUAAGCACCGCGAACAGCUCCGGGAUCAUCUCCAUCCCUUGCAUGUCAUAGUUCAUCACGAAGAUCUAGUAGCUUAGUGAUAGUGACUAGAGAACUCUAUCAAUCACUAUAUUAUCUGGAAGUUUAACUCCCACUUGAUUCAAGUGAUUGUAGCACCCAGACAUUCUGAGCACAUGCUCACUAGCUGAGCUAUUCUCCUCCAUCUUGUAGGCAAGGAACUUGUCAGAGGUCUCAUACCUCUCAACACGGGCAUGAGCCUGAAAUCCCAAUUUCAGCUCUUGGAACAUCUCAUGUGUUCUAUGGCGUUCAAAACGUCAUUGGAAUCCCGAUUCUAAGCCGUAAAGUAUGGUGCACUUAACUAUCAAGUAGUCAUCAGGACGUAUCUGUUAGAUGUUCAUAACAUCCACAGACGACGCUGGAAGGGUUGGCACACCGAGCGGUGCAUCAAAGACAUAAGCCUUCUGUGUAGCAGUGAGGACACUCCUCAUGCAACGGACCUAGUCCGCGUCAAUGCUUACAAUAUCUUUCAACUUAAUCUUUCUCUAGGAACGUAUUGAAACAGGGAGCUACAACGCGAGCUAUUGAUCUACAACAUAUUUGCAAAGACAAUUUAGACUAUGUUCAUGAUAAUUAAGUUCAUCUAAUCAAAUUAUUUAAUGAACUCCCACUUAAAUAGACAUCCCUCUAGUCAUCUAAGUGAUACAUGAUCCGAAUCGACUAGGCCGUGUCCGAUCAUCACGUGAGACGGACUAGUCAUCAUCGGUGAACAUCUUCAUGUUGAUCGUAUCUUCUAUACGGCUCAUGUUUGACCUUUCGGUCUUCCGUGUUCCGAGGCCAUGUCUGUACAUGCUAGGCUCAUCAAGUCAACCUAAGUGUUUCGCAUGUGUUCCGAGGCCAUGUCUGUACAUGCUAGGCUCGUCAACACCCGUUGUAUUCGAACGUUAGAAUCUAUCACACCCGAUCAUCACGUGGUGCUUCGAAACAAUGAACCUUCGCAAUGGUGCACAGUUAGGGAGAACACUUUUCUUGAAAUUUUAGUGAGGGGUCAUCUUAUUUAAGCUACCGUCGUUCUAAGCAAAUAAGAUGUAAAACAUGAUAAACAUCACAUGCAAUCUAAUAGUGACAUGAUAUGGCCAAUAUCAUUUUGCUCCUUUUUGAUCUCCAUCUUCGGGGCGCCAUGAUCAUCGUCGUCACCGGCAUGACACCAUGAUCUCCAUCAUCAUGAUCUCCAUAAUCGUGUCUUCAUGAAGUUGUCUCGUCAUCUAUUACUUCUACUACUAUGGCUAACGGUUUAGCAAUAAAGUAAAGUAAUUACAUGACGUUUAUGUUGACACGCAUGUCAUAAAUAAAUUAAGACAACUCCUAUGGCUCCCGCCGGUUGUCAUACUCAUCGACAUGCAAGUCGUGAUUCCUAUUACAAGAACAUGAUCAAUCUCAUACAUCACAUAUAUCAUUCAUCACAUCCUUUUGGCCAUAUCACAUCACACGACAUAUGCUGCAAAAACAAGUUAGACGUCCUCUAAUUGUUGUUGCAAAUUUUUACGUGGCUGCUAUAGGUUUCUUAGCGAGAACGUUUCUUACCUACGCCAAAACCACAACGUGAUAUGCCAAUUUCUAUUUACCCUUCAUAAGGACCCUUUUCAUCGAAUCCGAUCCGACUAAAGUGGGAGAGACAGACACCCGCUAGCCACCUUAUGCAACUAGUGCAUGUCAGUCGGUGGAACCUGUCUCACGUAAGUGUACGUGUAAGGUCGGUCCGGGCCGCUUCAUCCCACGAUGCCGCCGAAUCAAGAUAAGACUAGUAACGGCAAGUAAAUUGACAAAAUCGAUGCCCACAACUACUUUGUGUUCUACUCGUGCAUAGAAAUUACGCAUAGACCUAGCUCAUGAUACCACUGUUGGGGAACGUAGCAGAAAUUUAAAAUUUUCUACGCAUCACCAAGAUCAAUCUAUGGAGUAAUCUAGCACCGAGGGGAAGGGGAGUGCAUCUACAUACCAUUGUAGAUCGCUAAGCGGAAGCGUUGCAAGAACGCGGAUGAAGGAGUCGUACUCGUAGCGAUUCAGAUCGCGGUUGAUUCCGAUCUAAGCGCCGAACCACGGCGCCUCCGCAUUCAACACACGUGCAGCCCGGUGACGUCUCCCACGCCUUGAUCCAGCAAGGGGAGAAGGAGAAGUUGGGGAAGACUCCGUCCAGCAGCAGCACGACGGCGUGGUGGUGGUGGAGGAGCGCGGAACUCCAGCAGGGCUUCGCCAAGCACUACGAGAGACGAGGAGGGAGAGAGGCAUGGCUGCGCCUGGGAGAGAAUAACUCGUGUAUUGGGCAGCCCCUAGACCUCAACUAUAUAUAGGGGGAGGGGAGGGGGCUACGCCCCCUCUAGGGUUCCCACCCCAAGGGGUGCGGCAGCCCCAGAUCCCAUCUAGGGUGGCGGCCAAAGGGGGGAGAGGGGGAGGCGCACCUGGGGUGGGCCUUAGGGCCCAUCUGCCCUAGGGUUUGCCCCCAUCUUCUCUUGAGGCGCCUUGGGCCUUGGUGGGGGGCGCACCAGCCCACCUAGGGGCUGGUCCCUUCCCACUAUUGGCCCACGCAAGCCUCUGGGGCUGGUGGCCCCUCCCGGUGGACCCCGGGACCUUUCCGGUGGUCCCGGUACAUUACCGGUGAUGCCCGAAACACUUCCGGUGGCCAAAUCCUCACUUCCUAUAUAUCAAUCUUUACCUCCGGACCAUUCCGGAACUCCUCGUGAUGUCCGGGAUCACAUCCGGGACUCUGAACAACAUUCGGUAACCGCGUACAUACUUUCCCUAUAACCCUAGCGUCAUCGAACCUUAAGUGUGUAAGCGACCCUACCCUUGUCUUUCUUGAACUUAGUGGUUUUAUUCACCAUCAACACUUGAUGUUCCUUUUUGAUCUCCACCUCCGCUGAUUUCAGCAUUGAAUAUACCUCAGGAAUGGUCUUUUCCAUCCCCUGCAUAUUGAAAUUCAUCACAAAGCUCUUGUAGCUAGGUGGAAGCGACUGAAGGAUUCUGUCAAUGAGCGCGUCAUCCGGGAGAUUAACUCCCAGCUAAGACAAGCGGUUGUGCAACCCAGACAUUUUGAGUAUAUGUUCGCUGACGGAACUAUUCUCCUCCAUCUUACAACUAUAGAACUUGUCGGAUACUUCAUAUCUCUCGACCCGGGCAUGAGCUUGGAAAACCAUUUUCAGCUCUUGGAACAUCUCAUAUGCUCCGUGCUGCUCGAAACGCUUUUGGAGCCCCGGUUCUAAGCUGUAAAGCAUGCCGCACUGAACCAGGGAGUAAUCAUCAACACGUGUUUGCCAGGCGUUCAUAACGUCUUGGUUUGCUGGGACGGGUGCUUCACCUAGCAGUGCUUCAAGGACAUAUGCUUUCUUGGCAGCUAUGAGGAUGAUCCUCAAGUUCCGGACCCAGUCCGUAUAGUUGCUACCAUCGUCUUUCAGCUUGGUUUUCUCUAGGAACACGUUGAAGUUGAGGUUGACAUUAACGUGGGCCAUUUGAUCUACAAUACAUAUUGUAAAGAUUUUAGACUAAGUUCAUGAUAAUUAAGUUCAUCUAAUCAAAUUAUUAAUGAACUCCCACUCAGACAGACAUCCCUCUAGUCAUCUAAGUGAUACAUGAUCCGAGUCAACUAGGCCGUGUCCGAUCAUCACGUGAGACGGACUAGUCAUCAUCGGUGAACAUCUUCAUGUUGAUCGUAUCUGCUAUACGACUCAUGUUCGACCUUUCGGUCUCUUGUGUUCCGAGGCCAUGUCUGUACAUGCUAGGCUCGUCAAGUCAACCUAAGUGUAUUGCGUGUGUAAAUCUGGCUUACACCCGUUGUAUGCGAACGUUAGAACCUAUCACACCCGAUCAUCACGUGGUGCUUCGGAACAACGAACCUUCGCAACGGUGCACAGUUAGGGGGAACACUUUCUUGAAAUUUUAGCGAGGGAUCAUCUUAUUUAUGCUACCGUCGUUCUAAGCAAAUAAGAUGUAAAACAUGAUAAACAUCACAUGCAAUCAAAUAGUGACAUGAUAUGGCCAAUAUCAUUUUGCUCCUUCUGAUCUCCAUCUUCGGGGCGCCAUGUUCAUCAUUGUCACCGGCAUGACACCAUGAUCUCCAUCAUCGUGUCUUCAUGAAGUUGUCUCGCCAACUAUUACUUCUACUACUAUGGCUAACGGUUAGCAAUAAAGUAAAGUAAUUACAUGACGUCUCAGUUGACACGCAGGUCAUAAAUAAAUUAAGACAACUCCUAUGGCUCUUGCCGGUUGUCAUACUCAUCGACAUGCAAGUUGUGAUUCCUAUUACAAGAACAUGAUCAAUCUCAUACAUCACAUAUAUCAUUCAUCACAUUCUUCUGGCCAUAUCACAUCACAUGACACAUGAUGCAAAAACAAGUUAGACGUCCUCUAAUUGUUGUUGCAAAUUUUUACGUGGCUGCUAUAGGUUUCUAGCAAGAACGUUUCUUACCUACGCCAAAGCCACAACGUGAUAUGCCAAUUUCUAUUUACCCUUCAUAAGGACCCUUUUCAUCGAAUCCGAUCCGACUAAAGUGGGAGAGACAGACACCCGCUAGCCACCUUAUGCAACUAGUGCAUGUCAGUCGGUGGAACCUGUCUCACGUAAGCGUACGUGUAAGGUCGGUCCGGGCUGCUUCAUCCCACGAUGCCGCCGAAUCAAGAUAAGACUAGUAACGGCAAGUAAAUUGACAAAAUCGACGCCCACAACAACUUGUGUUCUACUCGUGCAUAGAAACUACGCAUAGACCUAGCUCAUGAUGCCACUGUUGGGGAUCGUUGUAGAAAUUUAAAAUUUUCUAAGCAUCACCAAGAUCAAUCUAUAGAGUCAUCUAGCAACAAGAGAGAGAGGAGUGUUGGGAUCGAUGCAGAAAUUUAAAAUUUUCUACGCAUCACCAAGAUCAAUCUAUGGAGUAAUCUAGCACCGAGGGGAAGGGGAGUGCAUCUACAUACCAUUGUAGAUCGCUAAGCGGAAGCGUUGCAAGAACGCGGAUGAAGGAGUCGUACUCAUAGCGAUUCAGAUCGCGGUUGAUUCCGAUCUAAGCGCCGAACCACGGCGCCUCCGCAUUCAACACACGUGCAGCCCGGUGACGUCUCCCAUGCCUUGAUCCAGCAAGGGGAGAAGGAGAAGUUGGGGAAGACUCCGUCCAGCAGCAGCACGACGGCGUGGUGGUGGUGGAGGAGCGCGGAACUCCAGCAGGGCUUCGCCAAGCACUACGAGAGACGAGGAGGGAGAGAGGUAUGGCUGCGCCUGGGAGAGAAUAACUCGUGUAUUGGGCAGCCCCUAGACCUCAACUAUCUAUAGGGGGAGGGGAGGGGGCUGCGCCCCCUCUAGGGUUCCCACCCCAAGGGGUGCGGCAGCCCCAGAUCCCAUCUAGGGUGGCGGCCAAAGGGGGGAGAGGGGGAGGCGCACCUGGGGUGGGCCUUAGGGCCCAUCUGCCCUAGGGUUUGCCCCCAUCUUUUCUUGAGGCGCCUUGGGCCUUGGUGGGGGGCGCACCAGCCCACCUAGGGGCUGGUCCCUUCCCACUAUUGGCCCACGCAAGCCUCUGGGGCUAGUGGCCCCUCCCGGUGGACCCCCGGACCCUUCCGGUGGUCCCGGUACAUUAUCGGUGAUGCCCGGAACACUUCCGGUGGCCAAAUCCUCACUUCUUAUAUAUCAAUCUUUACCUCCGGACCAUUCCGGAACUCCUCGUGACGUCCGGGAUCUCAUCCGGGACUCCGAACAAAAUUCGGUAACCGCAUACAUACUUUCCCUAUAACCCUAGCGUCAUCGAACCUUAAGUGUGUAGACCCUACGGGCUCGGGAACCAUGCAGUCAUGACCGAGACAUAUCUCCGGCCAAUAACCAACAGCGGGAUCUGGAUACCCAUGUUGUCUCCCACAUGUUCCACGAUGAUCUCAUCGGAUGAACCACGAUGUCAAGGAUUCAAUCAAUCCCGUAUACAAUUCCCUUUGUCUACCGGUAUAGUACUUGCCCGAGAUUCGAUCGUCGGUAUCCCGAUACCUUGUUCAAUCUCGUUACCGGAAAAUCUCUUUACUCGUUCCGUAACACAUCAUCUCGUGAUCAACUCCUUGGUCACAUUGUGCACAUUAUGAUGAUGUCCUACCGAGUGGGCCCAGAGAUACCUCUCCGUUUACACGGAGUGACAAAUCCCAGUCUCGAUUCGUGCCAACCCAACAGACACUUUCGGAGAUACCUGUAGUGCACCUUUAUAGCCACCCAGUUACGUUGUGACGUUUGGUACACCCAAAGCAUUCCUACGGUAUCCGAGAGUUGCACAAUCUCAUGGUCUAAGGAAAUGAUACUUGACAUUAGAAAAGCUUUAGCAGACGAACUACACGAUCUUGUGCUAGGCUUAGGAUUGGGUCUUGUCCAUCACAUCAUUCUCCUAAUGAUGUGAUCCCGUUAUCAACGACAUCCAAUGUCCAUGGUCAGGAAACCGUAACCAUCUAUUGAUCAACGAUCUAGUCAACUAGAGGCUUACUAGGGACAUGGUGUUGUCUAUGUAUCCACACAUGUAUCUGAGUUUCCUAUCAAUACAAUUCUAGCAUGGAUAAUAAACAAUUAUCAUGAACAAGGAAAUAUAAUAAUAACCAAUUUAUUAUUGUCUCUAGGGCAUAUUUCUAACAAGGAGUGCAUCUACAUACCCUUGUAGAUCGCGAGCGGAAGCGUUAAAGAGAACGGGGUUGAUGGAGUCGUACUCGUCGUGAUCCAAAUCACCGAUGAUCCUAGCGCCGAACGGACGGCACCUCCGCGUUCAACACACGUACGGAGCAGAGAUGUCUCCUCCUUCUUGAUCCAGCAAGGGGGAAGGAGAAGUUGAUGGAGAUCCAGCAGCACGACGGCGUGGUGGUGGAUGCAGCGGGAUUCCAGCAGGGCUUCGCCAAGCGCUAUUGGAGGAGGAAGAGGUGUCACGGGAGGGAGAGGGAGGCGCCAGGGCUUAGGGUGCGGCUGCUCUCCCUCCCCUCCACUAUAUAUAGGGGCUAGGGGGGGCGCAUGCCCCCUUUGGAGAUCCCAUCUAGAGGGGGGCGGCGGCCACUCGGGGGGCAACGCCCCCCUUAGGGUUUCCAACCAGGGGGCGCAUGCCCCCUCGGGGGGGCAACGGCCCCCUAGGGUUUCCAACCCUAGGCGCCUUGGGCCCUUGGGUGGGGCGCACCAGCCCACCAGGGGCUGGUUCCCACGCCACUUCAGCCCAUGGGGCCCUCCGGGAUAGGUGGCCCCACCCCGUGGACCCCCGGGACCCUUCCGGUGGUCCCGGUACAAUACCGGUGACCCCCGAAACUCUCCCGGUGGCCGAAACUGGACUUCCUAUAUAUAAAUCUUUACCUCCGGACCAUUCCGGAACUCCUCGUGACGUCCGAGAUCUCAUCCGGGACUCCGAACAACUUUCGGUUAACCGCAUACUAAUAUCUCUACAACUCUAGCGUCACCGAACCUUAAGUGUGUAGACCCUACGGGUUCGGGAGACACGUAGACAUGACCGAGACAACUCUCCGGUCAAUAACCAACAGCGGGAUCUGGAUACCCAUGUUGGCUCCCACAUGCUCCACGAUAAUCUCAUCGGAUGAACCACGAUGUCGAGGAUUCAAUCAAUCCCGUAUACAAUUCCCUUUGUCAAUCGGUACGUUACUUGCCCGAGAUUCGAUCGUCGGUAUCCCAAUACCUCGUUCAAUCUCGUUAUCGGCAAGUCACUUUACUCGUUCCGUAAUGCAUGAUCCCGUGACUAACUACUUAGUCACAUUGAGCUCAUUAUGAUGAUGCAAUACCGAGUGGGCCCAGAGAUACCUCUCCGUCAUACGGAGUGACAAAUCCUAGUCUCGAUCCGUGCCAACCCAACAGACACUUUCGAAGAUACCUGUAGUGCACCUUUAUAGCCACCCAGUUACGUUGUGACGUUUGGUACACCCAAAGUAUUCCUACGGUAUCCGGGAGUUGCACAAUCUCAUGGUCUAAGGAGAUGAUACUUGACAUUAGAAAAGCUUUAGCAAACGAACUACACGAGCUAGUGCCAUGCUUAGGAUUGGGUCUUGUCCAUCACAUCAUUCUCCUAAUGAUGUGAUCCCGUUAUCAAUGACAUCCAAUGUCCAUGGUCAGGAAACCGUAACCAUCUAUUGAUCAAUGAGCUAGUCAACUAGAGGCUCACUAGGGACAUGUUAUGGUCUAUGUGUUCACACAUGUAUUACGAUUUCCGGAUAACACAAUUAUAGCAUGAACAAUAGAUAAUUAUCAUGAACAAGGAAAUAUAAUAAUAACCAUUUUAUUAUUGCCUCUAGAGCAUAUUUCCAACACUCAGCAAGCGGUAUCUCAUCCAUACCCAUGGCGAGUUCCUUCUCUUUGGUGGCGGUGGUCUUGGUUCUGCGUUGGGGGGCAUUGGAGCCCUCUGCUGCCUCUGUGUUGCGCAUACGCUUGGAUCCCGUGUCACGGCUUGGAUUGGAGCGGCGAGCCGGAGCACCUGAGCCACCACCUAAAACACACACCACAAAACAAACACGCAUGAAACGCGAGAAGGAUCAAUGCAAAGACCACAGCAAAGCAGGUGAAACAAGUAGACAUGGCACGUGAGAAGUGCCACAAGAGGGAUUUGAGACAACGGUAGUAUCGUGUGUUGCGCCAUGUGCGGUAGUACAGCUCCAAGGGGCGGUAGUACCGUAGACGCGGUAGUACCGCACCAGCAGGGCGGUAGUACCGGACCUGCGGUAGUACCGCACCUAAAGAGCGGUAGUACCGCAUGGUUGCAGAUCUGAAACGGCCACGGAGAUCUGAGCACAACCGUGUCAACACGCGGUACUACGGUCGAUCAAAUCCAUCACGGGACAACUAUAGCAAGUACCAUCACUACACAAAACUACUCUCCUACGUCCUACUCUUGCAUAGAUUUGGCCUAAAAUCUCAAGAACAACUUGCAUCUCCCCAAAACCUAAAAGCAACAAGACGAACAAUAAAAAGGGAGGGAUUGGGGAGAAACCUUGUUCCAUGGAAAGAGGGAGUGGUGGGGAAUGAUCCCACCGGUUGGAAUCCGAGGAGAGCGGCCGGAGACGGAGAUCCGGCGAGGACCUCCGGCGCCGUUCUUGAGCGAGAGAGAGAGACGGAGUGGGGAGAGAGACGAAUGGGUAUGGGGGAGUUAGAACUCCCCCUGCCCGUGUUUAACCCCCCACGCGCCCUCGACCGCACGGUAGUACCGCACGUCAUCGCGGUACUACCGCCACGGGUGAAAGUACCGCACCGUGACUUUAGUACCGCUCCCCCAGGCGGCAGUAAAAAAAUUACUGCUGCGCUGGGUGCGGAAGUACCGUGCGCUCCUCACGCGGUAGUACCGCACGUCAUUGCGGUAGUACCGCCCGGGCGGGAGUACCGCACCGAGGCCGUAGUACCGCUCCCCCAGGCGGCAGUAAAAAAUUACUGCCGCGCUGGGUGCGGAAGUACCGCCCCCUCCCUUUUGCGGUAGUACCGUGGCAGGCCGCGGUAGUACCGUGAGCUCAAGAAAAGACAGUUUCAACCAAAAGAGAGAACACCGAAGCACGGAACCUUCAAGCGAGAGACCACACCAAAGAGCUAACACACUGGACACCAUAAUCACAAGCUCGACACGAAGGAAAAGAGGCAAGAGACAACACAGACCAAAAACGAGACACAGACUCUCCAAGGAGAGGGCGGUGGCCGGAGCCACCUAUGUUUGAGUCAAUUGGUAUGGCACCGCGAAGAAUUAUCCUUGGGCCCAUGACCAAAACUCGUCUUUGAAGCACAAGUACCAUCAAAAAUGGCUAAUGUGAAAGAGUUGAUCACUUUAUGCAUAAUGGGGGAGGGAGAGUUCAUUGAGAGAACAACACUCCCCCUAUGUCCAUGCCUACACCUAGAUUAGACAACAAGUUGAGUGUGGUGGGGUGUGCAAGGGUUCAAGCAACAUUUCUCGAAUCAAUAAUAUUUAGCUCAUGCCUUAACUCGCGAAAUCUUGCUUCAUCCAAAGGCUUCGUGAAAAUAUCUGCAAGGUUAUCAUGGGUGUUGACGUAGUUGAGCUCGAUCUCCCCUCGCCUAAUGUGAUCUCGGAUGAAGUGAUACCGAAUCUCAAUAUGCUUCGUCUUGAAGCGUUGCACGGGGUUGAGAGAAAUCUUGAUGGCACUUUCAUUAUCACACCAAAGAGGCACUUUGUCACAAAUGACACCGUAAUCCUUUAAAGUUUGCCUCAUCCAUAAGAGUUGUGCACAACAACUGCCGGCCGCCACAUACUCCGCUUUGGUGGACGAGAGAGACACACAACUUUGCUUUUUAGAAGACCAACUUACCAAAGAGCAACCAAGGAAUUGGCACCCUCCGGAAGUGGACUUCCUAUCCACUUUGUCUCCCGCCCAAUCGGAGUGCGAAUACCCUACAAGCUUGAAGUUUUCUCCUCUUGGGUACCAUAAGCCAAAGUUUGGGGUAUGAGCCAAAUAUCGAAAGAUUCGCUUGACCACCACAAAGUGGCUUUCCUUAGGUGCGGCUUGAAACCGUGCACAAAUCCCCACACUCAACAUGAUAUCCGGUCUAGAUGCACAAAGGUAAAGCAAGGAACCAAUCAUGGAGCGAUAUACCUUUUGAUACACCGCUUUACCAUUGGGAUCGAUGUCAAGUUGGCACUUGGUGUGCAUUGGAGUGGACGCCGGCUUGACAUCACUUAGCUUGAACCUCUUGAGCAUGUAUUGAGUGUAUUUGGCUUGGUUGAUGAAGGUUCCUUCUCUUCUUUGCUUUACUUCGAAACCGAGAAAGAACUUCAACUCUCCCAUGGAAGACAUCUUGAACUUUGAGGUCAUGAGUGCGGAAAAUUCCUCAUUGAAAGCUUUGUUAGGGGAACCAAAGAUAAUGUCAUCAACAUAUAGUUGGCACACAAACAACUCCCCUUUGACCUUCUUAGUAAAAAGAGUGGGGUCGAUUAGCCCAACUUCAAACCCACGAUCUUGUAACAACUCGGUAAGGUGGUCAUACCACGCACGUGGGGCUUGUUUAAGGCCAUAGAGUGCCUUAUCGAGUUGAUACACAUGAUCGGGAAAGUAGGGAUCCUCGAACCCGGGGGGUUGUUUGACAUAAACCAACUCAUUAAUAGGACCAUUAAGAAAAGCACUCUUCACAUCCAUCUGUUGCAACUUAAAGUUGUGAUGAGAAGCAUAAGCAAUCAACAAACGAAUAGAUUCAAGGCGAGCAACGGGAGCAAAGGUUUCACCGUAGUCGAUACCCUCGACUUGGGAGUAGCCUUGUGCCACCAAUCGUGCCUUGUUGCGGAUGAUGGUCCCAUGAGCAUCUUGCUUGUUCUUGAAUAUCCACUUGGUUCCAAUGACAUUGUGGUUCCCCGUUGGCCUUGGCACUAAUCUCCACACCUUGUUGUACUCGAAGUUGUUGAGUUCUUCAUGCAUGGCAUUAAGCCAAUCCGGAUCUUCGAGUGCUUCAUACACCUUUUGGGGUUCAACACAAGAGACAAAUGCGUGAUGUUCACAAUAGUUUGCCAAUUGUCUACAAGUGCUUACCCCCUUUUGAAUGCUUCCAAGCACAUUCUUCAUGAGAUGACCCUUGGUGGAGAGCUUGGAUGCAAUCUUGGUGGCACGACGCUCCAAUUCCUCCUCGGUGGUGAGUUGAGGAGCGAUCAGUUGAUCAUCUUGAGCGCCGUCUUGAGCUUGUUCUUGAUCUUGAACUUGCUCGGAGGAGAGAACUUGACCUUGGGCAUCACAUGGUGUGUCACCACCGUCUUGAGCAUGAUCUUGCCCUUGGUCUUGUUCAUGAGGUUGAGGGCCUUCACUGUGUUCUUCGGAAGCGUGUGGGCCUUGGGUUGGUGAUGGCUCCACUUGAGUGGAGCAUUGUCCUUCUCCUUCGGCCACAAGGGGUUCCUCAAUGGGUAGGAUAAAACCAACACCCAUUCUUCUUAUGGCUUGAGUAGGAAUUUCAUCACCUACAUCACAAGUGCCACUUUGCUCCACUUGGGAGCCGUUAUUCUCAUCAAACUCCACGUUACACGUCUCCUCAAUAAGUCCCGUGGAUUUAUUGAGGACACGGUAAGCAUGAGAGUUUGUAGCAUAACCAACAAAUAUGCCCUCAUAAGCUCUAGCUUCAAAUUUAGACAACCGAACACCUUUCUUGAGAAUGAAACACUUACACCCGAACACCCGAAAGUACUUGAGGUUGGGCUUGUUACCGGUGAGUAUCUCAUAUGGAGUCUUGUUCAAGCCCUUGCGGAGGUAGAGCCGAUUGGAUACAUGACACGCGGUGUUGAUGGCUUCGGCCCAAAAGUUGUAUGGAGACUUGAACUCCGCCAUCAUGGUCCUUGCCGCAUCCAUCAACGUCCGGUUCUUCCUCUCCGCAACACCGUUUUGUUGAGGGGUGUAAGGUGCGGAAUAUUGAUGCUUGAUCCCCUCAUCACUAAGAAACUCAUCCAAGGUGUAGUUCUUGAACUCGGUGCCGUUGUCACUUCUUAUUGUCAAGAUCUUUGCAUUGUGUUGACGUUGGGCUUCAUUUGCAAAGUCAAUGACGGUUUGUUGGGUCUCGCUCUUCCUCUUGAAGAAAUACACCCAAGUGUAUCUUGAAUAGUCAUCCACAAUCACCAAGCAAUACUUCCUACCCCCAAGACUAUCAAAGGAUGGAGGCCCAAAGAGAUCCAAGUGAAGGAGCUCCAAAGGCCUCUUCGAGUAAAUGAUAGUCGUGGGAGGGUGAGCCUUCUCAUGUAGCUUUCCUUUGAUACAAGCACUGCAAGCACGAUCUUUAGCAAAACUAACAUUCGUUAGUCCACGGACAUGGUCCCCCUUGAGAAGACUUUGCAAAGAUCUCAUAUUGACAUGGGCUAAACAGCGAUGCCAAAGCCAUCCCACGUCAACUUUAGCCAUUAGGCAUGUCGCGGUCUUAGUGGGUCGCUCCGAAAAGUUAAUCACAUAGAGACCGUUCUUGACAUGCCCAACAAAGGCUACUUUAAGAGUCUUGCUCCACAAGAGGGCCACGGUAUCAAUAUCAAAGAAAGUGGCAAAGCCCAUGAUUGCAAGUUGACGAACGGAAAGUAAAUUGUAUGCAAGGGACUCAACAAGCACGACCUUCUCAAUCGUGAGAUCAUGAGAAAUGACUACUUUGCCGAGUCCCAAUACCUUAGAAGACGAGGCAUCACCCCACUCGACAUUGGUGGGCAUAGAUGGAAUCUUGUGCACGUCCACCACCAAGUCCUUGCUUCCGGUCAUAUGAUUUGUAGCUCCACUAUCGAGCAACCAUGAUCCCCCACCGAAAGCAAACACCUACAAGAGAUCAAUGCUUGGUUUCAGGUACCCAUUUGAUAAUGGGUCCUUUGAUGUUAAUAACAAGGGUCUUAGGAACCCAAAUAGACCAUUCAAUAUACUCAUGAGGAGAACCAACAAAUUUGGCAUAAACAUGCCCAUCACUAGCACGGCAUAACACAUAAGAAGGAUUAAAAUCGCCGGCUUUGUUGGAAGGGGUGGCAUUGUCCUUCUUGACACCGUCACCCUUCGCAUUGUUCUUCUUCUCCUUGGAAGCACCCUCUCCCUCCUUCACAAAAGUUUGCUUGAGAGGAGGAGGUCGUUUGGUCUUGCCAUUCUUCUUCUUGUUCUUGGGCUUGGGUGCGAACCCAAUCCCCUCCUUGGCCACAACUUCCUUUUGAUUGCUCAAAAGGUCGUUGAGGUUCUUCUCACCUUGUAUGCAUGACACAAGGCCUUUCUCAAGUUGCUCCUUCAACUUAGCAUUUUCCUCAACAAGAUGCACAUGCUCACAACAAGGGUUAGUAGCAUUUGCAUUAUCAAUUAACACCAUAUGAGGAAAGGUGGCUUUCUCCUUGGUUAGCCUCACUUGGAGUUGAUCAUGAUACUCCUUGAGGCUAGCAUGGACACCCUUCAAGACUUUGUGAGCCUUGUCGAGAAUAUCAAACUCCUCUUUGAGUCUAGCAAGAUCAACCCCAAGCUUUGCCUUCUCGGAGUUUAGCACACGAGAAACAACAAGAGCAUGAUCAAGAUCUUUCUUUAACUUAGCAUGAUCAUCGUUGUGUGACUCCUCAAGAGCCAAACUAAGACCACGCUCUUCGUCAAGAGCAUUGGAAAGAUCUGAAAUCUCAUUGGCAUAGUCACGACUAUGCCCCUCCAUCUUAGAGAUGGUAUCUUCGUGAGCCUCGAUCAUGUCAUUGGCUUCACCAAGUUGUUCCAAGAGAGCAACAAAGUGCUUCUUGGAUUUACCCUUGAGUUUACCCAUAAAGGUCUCAAACUCAUUCUCCUCCACAUUUGUCCCCUCAUGUUCAUCAAUGCUAUCCGAAGAAGGAUGAUUAAUGAUGGUAGUUUUGAUGUUGGGGGUUACCUUGUUGGUGGCUUUAGCCAUGAGGCACUUGGCGGUGAUGUUCUCAUUGGGUGAGUCAAAGAGAGACACCCGUGGAGUCGUCGCAAUGGCAACGGAGGCCAUGGCAACCGACUCACCAUCUUCCUCAUCGUCAUCAUCCUCAUUGUACCCUUCUUGUACCACCAAUGCCUUGGGAGAAGUCUUCUUGGUGAAGUUGCUCUUGUUGGGGAAUGACUUGGCCUUGUCCUUUCGGAUGAGCUUUCCACCAUUGUCUUCCCUCUUCUCAUAAGGGCACUCCGCAACAAAGUGGCUCACAUUGCCACAAUUGAAGCAAGUCCUCACUCGUUGCUUGCCCUUUGCGCCACUUGAAUUGUUCUUGUUGAAGUUGGGCCUUGAGUUCUUCUUGCUCGAAAAUUGCCUUGAAGCAAGCACCAUGUGUUCAUGAUAGGUAUACUUCGUAUCUUCGAGGUUGCUCUCCUCUUCUUCCUCUUCAUCCUCUUCCUCCAUACUAACCUUGGCCUUUAGAGCAAGGUUGGGCUUCUUUACUCUUUGAGAGCGAAGAACCGCAUUGUCGGCGGUCUUGUCCAAGAUGCUCAUAGAAACAAACUCAUCCAACACUUCACUUCAGGACAAGGUGUGGAAGUCCGGCCUUUGACGAAUGACGGAGGACAUGGCUUUGUGGUAGGGCAUCAUUGCCUUGAGGAAUUUGCGCUUGAUCCAAUUGUCAUCCGUGUCCUUACUUCCAUGAUCUCGGAGAGAGACCGCGAGUUUAGUUACUCUUCGAUAAAGCUCACGAGGUUCUUCAUCUUCUUUCAUUGCAAACUCAUCGGCUUCAUCUUGCACCACUUCAUAGUUGGAGCGUUGAAUGCUUGCACUUCCCCGAUAGAGGGAAACCACUUGGUGCCAAGCAUCUUUGGCCACGGUGUAGGGCCGGAGAUGAGGAAGAUCUUCGGGUGGGAUUGCUUCUUGGAUGAUGAAGAGAGCAUUCUCAUUGAAUUGAUCAUCCACUGCUUCUCUAGGAGUGAGGUUCCUUCGGUCAUGCGGAUAGAAACCUUCUUCAAUGAUUCUCCAAAGGUUAGUGUUCACAUGAUUUAAAUGACACUUAAAACGAUAGACCCAAGAAUCAAAUUCUACAUUCUUCUCAAUCUUAGGGGCCGGUCCGGCAUGAUUCAAAUGAGUGGAAGGAAGCGGUCCACCAUAGACAAGUGGAGGUUCCACAUGGGCAAAGAUGUCGGUGCCAUUUUUACCACUAGAAGAAGGAGCUUUCUCGCUAGUAGCUUCCCCCUUGUCGGAGGUAGCAUCCGUCACCUUGUUAGCGGGAUCACCCACUUUCAACGGUGCGGUGAAAAGUUUAAGCCCUUCUAAGAAUUUAUUAAACAUGCUUUCGACCUCGGUCUUCAUGGAGGUUUUCAAUGUGUCCAACGCCACAUUGAAUUCCUCACGAGAGACCGUGGUUCCCCCAUCUCCCGUAGAUGAGACCGGAUUCACACCGGAGUGCUCCUCCACACCGUCUACAACGCCAACCAUACUCUUCGGACGGUAAAGUCCUUAAUCAAGAGACGAGGCUCUGAUACCAAUUGAAAGGAUCGAUAUAGUUGACUAGAGGGAGGGUGAAUAGGCACCUAACAAUUUUUAGCUUUUGUUUACCAAUUUAAACUUUGCAUCAAAGUAGGUUGUCUAGAUAUGCAACUAGGUGAGCAACCUAUAUGAUGCAACAACAAUAAGCACACAUGCAAGCAAGAGAUAAAGCACAAAUAAGCUUGCACAAGUAAAGGCACGAGAUAACCAAGAGUGGAGCCGGUGAAGACGAGGAUGUGUUACCGAAGUUCCUUCCCUUUGAGAGGAAGUACGUCUCCGUUGGAGCGGUAUGGAGGCACAAUGCUCCCCAAGAAGCCACUAGGGCCACCGUAUUAUCCUCACGCCCUCACACAAUGCGAGAUGUCGUGAUUCCACUAUUGGUGCCCUUAGAGGCGGCGACCGAACCUUUACAAACAAGGUUGGGGCAAUCUCCACAACUUAAUUGGAGGCUCCCAACGAUACCACGAAGCUUCACCACAAUGAACUAUGGCUCCGCGGUGACCUCAACCGUCUAGGGUGCUCAAACACCCAAGAGUAACAAGAUCCACAAGGGAUUAGUGGGGGGAUUCAAAUUUCUCUUGGUGGAAGUGUAGAUCGGGACCUCCUCAACCAAUCCCUAGAGAAUCAACAAGUUUGAUUGGCUAGGGAAGGAGAUCAGGCGAAAAUGGAGCGUGGAGCUACAAUGGAGCUUGGAGGUGGAAGAGGUAGUCAACUAGAGGAGGAAGACACCCCUUAUAUAGUGGAAGAACAAAUCCAACCGUUAUCCACCAACUCAGCCUGCGCAGCGCGGUACUACCGCACCUGAGGCGCGGUACUACCGCAGGGGCACGCGGUACUACCGCAGGGCCCCGUGGUACUACCGCCCACGCAGCAGAGACCAGAACAACCAAAAAUGCACUAAAGCAGAGGGCGGUAGUACUGCUGGCGCGGUACUACCGCUCCCCCUUGCGGUACUACCGCAAGGCAGGGGCUGUCCAGGGAUGGGAAGGCACGGAUAUAAAAAUUACAUCCGUGGCUACUUCCGCAGAGUUGGAGUCGAUGCAAAAACCCGACGCGGUAGUACCGUAAGCCAGCAGCGGUACUACCGCGCGAGGCGCGGAUGUAAAAAAUUACAUCCGCCCCUUACUGUCGUGUACUUGCGGAACUAAGUCAGAGACCGCGGUACUACCGCUUACUAGAAGCGGUACUACCGUGGGUCCUUGCGGUACUACCGCACCAGCGGGCGGUACUACCGCGAGGUCCUGCGGUACUACCGCUCUAAGGAGCAGUACUACCGCACGCCCUAGUUCGGCAAGCAAGAGCAAUGUUUGCAUAGACAAAGAAAACAAAGGAUGCUCCAAAGGCUAGAGGAAAGGAGGUGCAAAGGAAGAUGUGUACGUGAUGAAUCCACCCAACCUUUCCAACGCGGACCCCCUCUUAAUAGUACGGCUUCCCUACGACUCAAUACCACCAAAAAGAAACAAAGAGAAACGCCGUCUUCUAUAGCCUUCGAGGGGAACCAAAUCAUCUUGUGCCUAGUCAAUAUAUCUGAAAUAUUCGAUGCACAUGAUUAGUCCGCAAAAGCAUUGUCAUCAAUCACCAAAACCAACUAAGGGAUAAAAAUGCCCUUACACACGCCAAGUGGUGUCUUAUCUCCGAGUGAAUCUCCUAGUAAAUAUAGCUCGACUUCAAGGGGUGUCUUAUCUAGCAGAGACUAUGUGUUUUGUGUUUCAAGCGCAACCUUCUAAUUGGAAUUGCCUCCGGUCUUUGCAUACCUCCACAUCGAAUAUCCCAAGUCCAUCGUGCAUAUAGAUAUCAGCCAGGUAUUGUAAUAUGUUAGACACAAACUUCAAUGCCAAACUGUCUAACUUUGGGCUUGUGACACAAGUCAACCAUACCCAAACCUCACGCACGACGAUGAAUAUAGCCGGGACUCGAUCAUACAACGACCCAGCAUGUUUUGAGACCGGAAAGACAUGUGGGCAGUCUGAUGUGUACGGCUUAGGCGUGAUGUUGCUCAAAAUUGUCUGUGGUGAAAAACCAACCACACAGGCUAAUGGCAAGAACAACCUUAUCGAGAAGGUCCUAAAAUGUCAAGCGAACAAUACAAUUCUCGGUGCAGAUGACAAAGGGUUGAGAGGCCAAUUUGACGGGGAACUCAAAAGUGUGUUGGAGAUCGGGCUCAUGUGUGUCAACCCGGAUCGUCAGCGUCGUCCACACAUCAAAAGAGUGAGGGGUUUCUUGAUGCAACUGCUAUUUUUAGUGUCCACUUCAAACCCCACCAUCCCUUCUGGAGUAAAUGGGAGGGGACCAAGUAGCUCCAACACAUACCCUGCGCAUUCACCGGCCGAUGAAGAAGCCGACGAUUCACCACUGCUAGUCUAGCCUCAAUAUGAGGUACCCCCUCCAGCGAAGGACUGCCAAAUGAAGUUCAUAAUUUCCACAAAAAAUGAAGUGAAGUUCGCCAUGGAAGAUACUUCUUCCCUCUUGUUAACUAUAUGCUGCAUCCAUCCAUUCACCCAUCAUGUAUGCCUGUAUUACCUCUUUCUCUAUGUGUGAUACAGUAAUAAACAUAUAUAUAAUGUGAAAAUGUAUUGAAUGAUGAAUCUAAUAGUGUUGAUUUGGUAUUAUAGAUGUUGAUAAUUUUUUUCUAUAGUUUGUUUUAAAAUUUAUGUAGUCUAACUUACAACGAUAGUAAUACACCUUGAAUGCACCGAUACGGAUACGGGUAUCAGUAUCGGGCCAAUACGGAUACGUUGUAGCUACCCAAAGCAACCUGGAGAAGAUGAAAAUAAGAAAUCCUCAGAGAUCAGAGAAGAAAGAAGAGGAGAUGAGCCUGGCUGGGCAGGAGAAAUGGAGAAGAGAAGUGUAAAUACAUGGCUGCUGCGUGAGAGGGGACGUUGAUGAGGAGGAGGAGGAGCUUGUUGACGGCUAGCCGCCGCCGCUGUCCCAGGGACCUGGGUGAGCAGCCGCUGGCGACACAGGCGCCGCCUGGUGUGAGCACGGGAAGGGGGAAAGACGUUGUGAGGGAAAGGAUAGAGGGCAUCACGGCACCAGGGUAGUUGGUUGCCUCUUAAAUGGGCUGAGUGGGCUCUUACCUGGGCUGGAAAAGUAUCCAAGACGUAUUAACAAAGUAUCCUUCGAGUAUCGUAAUUGUUUUAAAUCAUUUAUUCUCAGAUACUCCAGGGACACGUAUCGGGGGCGUAUCGGAGGAGUAUCAGUAUCGGAUACGGAUUCGCUGGUCGACUGAAGUAUCCGUGCAUUCGAGUAAUACACAAAGUAAAUCCGUAAAAAAACAUCCUAAGUAAGUUGAAACGGCGGGGUGCGAAAAAUAUCCAUUUUCAAAUCCUACCGAUUUCACUAACCAAACCAAGGAAGCAGCGCACUGGAUUUGCGCUGGCAAUGUCUUUUGAUACAUGUGCAAAAUCGUCGUUAAAGCAAUUUGUGUAUGCAUACACACAACGAAAUAAAGGCAGUAUACAUAUUGCAGCCAGAGCAUUCGCAUCUCUCAUCCAAUAUUACAGCAAACCAGCAGGAGUACAUCAGGAAAUCAAGAAACAUGGCACCAUGUCCUCACCCGACAACAGUCCACCAGUCCCCAGAUCGGCGGAUCGAUCGAUGGAUCAGCGAAGCUCGUGGAUCACUUGUUGUUCAUGAGCACCUUGACGAGCUCCUUGCACUGGACGCGGCCCUCGCCGCGGGGGUCGGCCUUGCGGAGCAGCUCGUCGGCCUCCUCCUCCGUGAGCCGGUCGCCGUGGGUGAGCAUCACCUGCCGCAGCUGCUCCGCGGGGAUGACCCCGCUCCCGUCGUCGUCGAACGCGUCCAGGCACUGGGCCAGGCCCUUGGCCGACACGCCGGCGUUGGCCUUGCGCGCCGCCACGGCCAGGAACGUGGGGAGGUCGACGGCGCCGGCGCCGCCCGCGCCCGCGUCCUCGAGGAAGCCCCGCGCCUCGGCCUCGUCCACGUUCUGGCCCAGCGAGCGCAGCGCCGUGACCAGCUCGCCGGCGGCGAUGCGGCCGUCCUCGUCGCCGUCGAACAGGUCGAACACCUCCUUGCACUCGUCCGCCUGCGCCUGGGUCAGCUUGGCCGCCAUGGCGGGGAGAGACCAGAGAGAGCUGAACUGCUGAAGGGAUAGGGGAAAGAAAUGGACUGAUUGAUUGGCCUAAUUGCUGUCCGGGCUGUUCGUCACGAUGAAGCAACCUAGCGAAGGUCGCUUUUCUUUUCUUUUGACAGGUCAAAAAUUAAGAGAGAUCAUAAGCAAUGACAACUUUCCCUCUCUCGUUAUUCUCCGAAGCAAAUCGCUUUGAACUCUGCCGAUUUUAGCAUCUUUAUGGUAAAGAUAUUUAUAUUAUGAUAAAAAAAUCAACGGCUUAUGCUUUGAUGUAAACAACUGACAGGUUGAAAAGGGAAAAAGAAUAAUAGUUCAACGAGCUGGCGCCAACCAUGUGCCCAACAAUUGAUCAUCAUAGCAUAGCGACGUGCCAUCCACCACAUUUGGUUUCGAUCAAUCAUAAGAUGUGGUACAAGUUGCAAAUACAAUGCAGCUGUUGGAUUCGCUGUCGACUUGAGUUGUGUUUCGUCGUCCAACAACUGUACCAAGGCGAAUUUGCUCCAGCGCAGUUCAGAGAUCACUACCACCGAAGUUGUACAAAGUUCGCAGAAACCAAGCAUGCCAAAUGAAAUCCAUACAAUGUACUUCCGGCUAACACAAACCAAGCAGACAUUUAAAAUGCAGGGCGAAACCAAGAUUUGCACAAAGCCCCUAAAUUCCAUGAUAAGACGAAGCCUAACAGGCAAGAUAAGUGCCACAACCAAAAGAAACCAGGUAAUUCCGAUGCUGCUCCCCACGACUACACCGCUACAAGAUAACCCGACCAACUACCCAACAGGCAACAGUACUUAAAAAAACAGGCGCAUAGCACAAAAUACAACUUUGCGAGUCUGUCUGGCAUUCCAUUCCAAUCCACUUGAGAGCAAAUUUCAAGCUUAUUUCGUGGGAGGGACCCCUGUCCUCGCCACCUCACUUGGCCAUCAUGACCUUGACGAACUCCUCGUAGUUGAUCUGGCCGUCGCCGUCCACGUCCGCCUCCCGGAUCAUCUCGUCCACCUCCUCGUCCGUCAGCUUCUCCCCGAGGUUGGUCAUCACGUGGCGCAGCUCCGCCGCCGAGAUGAAGCCGUUCUGGUCCUUGUCAAACACGCGGAACGCCUCCUUGAGCUCCUCCUCCGAGUCCGUGUCCUUCAUCUUCCUCGCCAUCAGGUUCAGGAACUCGGGGAAGUCGAUGGUGCCGUUGCCGUCCGCGUCAACCUCGUUGAUCAUGUCCUGCAGCUCCGCCUCCGUGGGGUUCUGCCCAAGGGACCGCAUCACGGUUCCGAGCUCCUUGGUGGUGAUGCAACCUGCAGGAAAUUCAACAUCGAUAAGCAUUCGUUAUCUAGCGCUACGAAAUAAAAUAAGAGCAAGUUUACUUGGGAUUUAAGAUUGGUCUGUUCGCCGCAUAUAAAAUACCCAAUGUGGGACUGAGUUGGUUCUAUUGUCCUAAGAACACAUGAUAUGUCAUAAUACCUCCAAUCAGCAUGUUGGGCACUUACACGCGCCUAUAUAUUGUUACUAUAAGGAGCUGCAAGUUGGAACAGCUGGGAAUCGUAAACAAACAUGGCUUUAAAGACGCUUUCCUAAAGUGUCACUGACGUUCAUUUCAACAUACUGAAUUCUGGAAAUCAAUUUAUGAACAGCUGAAGAAAUGAUGGACCGCCAGGCAGAAGCCUUAAGAAAGCAGUGCUUAGGUUUAGCAUCAAUUGGAUUGUAUCCUACCAAGUAAAAAAAAGGUACUUCUUGCUGUCCAUUUAACAUAUGAAAUCAAAAGUCAACCUACAAUUCUAUAAGUCAUCAUGUACACAAUUAGAUAUGACACAGAUCACAGACCAGACCAACUUGCAUCUAAAGACGUGCUGAAACAUAGUCCUUUAAUGUACCAAGCAAGGAAAUAACUAUUAAAUGAUGCAGAAAUGAGCGACUAUGACACUAGAAAAGAGGAAUCUACAAAUCAAGUGCUGGUCUUAGACUACACAGUUAAGACUAGAUCUCCCACUUCUAGGCUAUCAUCAGAAGCUAGAUCAUGCUGGUACUGUCACCAAAAAGUCUCACUAAAAUCCUUGACAUCAUCUACUAGUACAUCACAGCCAGAUCAACACCUCCAAUUCUCCAUCUAGUCCACUAGUACAAAACAGAAGCUAAUUGACCUGAUCACUUUACAGCAGUGUAUGACAACAACCUGAUUCUCAAUCUCUCUCAUUAGAAGUUCCGAAACACUCUACAGCUCUAAACCCUAGCUCCUAAAUGCAACCAGUAGCUGCUGCCCCCGAAUUGUUCCUCCCACAGGAGCACCCCGAAAUCCUACAAGUCGGAAAUCCACCUUAACAGAGCAAUCCGCCUGCAGCCCGCCGCGGAACAAACAACAGGCCCGAGCAAUCCAUCCCGCGCAGGCGCUGGAACAACACCAAAGGCCUAAAGAGACGACGCAACCCAGGCAUCACCGACUGGAUCUAGAGCGCUCCGAGACAAAACCCAAUUCGGCCGGAUCGAGCCCGAUCCGGCCGGCCGCGAGAGAGAGACAGGGGAGAGGGGGGGUUACCGUCGCCAUCCUUGUCGAAGAGGCUGAAGGCCUCCUUGAACUCGGCGAUCUGCUCGUCGGUGAGCUGGUCCGCCAUGGGGGAGGGAGGGAGGAGGCUUCGAGAAGGUGCGCGCGGGACACGGGGGGCGGCUGCGGGAAGGGGAAUAAUAAACGGGGCGCGGUGGUUGGCGUUGGCGAUGGUGCCCUGUCCGUGGGCUGGGUUUUAUAGACCGGUGGCGAUUAACGAGGGGGAAGGUUUGCUGGAACCGCCGGUUUUGUAUCCGGUUCCCCUUUCCUUUUCUUUUUCCCUUCCUUUUCCCUUUUUUCCUUCCUUGGAUCCUUGGCAAUCUAUGGUUCCAUUCAUACUCGAUUGCGCAACGAUGGUUUCCAUGUUUAUUCUUGUGUGGAAUUAGGAUUCUAUAUACUUUAGGCUCCAUUGAGUUCUGAGGUAUCUUUUGUUUGAGUAUAUCGAUGUAUAAUAAAGACUUAGCAAUGAGUAUUCGCAAGAAGAAGAAAAAGACUUAGUAAUGAGAGCUGAGUGCAGCGGCCGCCAUGGUGAGAGUUGAUACAUGAUGGUCAUGAAAGGUUGUCCCUAUUAUUUAGCACCUCAACAAUGAUAAAAAAAGUGUUAUGGUGUAUAGAGCAUCCUAAAGGAUGUAGAGAGCCAAGGAAAAAAGAAGGGCGAGUGUGCUACAAAGGGAAAAAGCACACAGAAGGAUACCAUGUUGCAUGUAAACCUGGGCAUCCUCCGGGCGGGGCCUAGUCCGGGUCAGGCUUUACAAAGCCCAACCUCAAACUCCCAAUCCCAUUCCCGAGCCCGAAACACAUGAACAGUGCACUUUUAAAAUUAAAAUGAUUAUUUUUAGGAUAUUUAAAUGAUAUAAUAUACUUAUAUUUCUAAUAAAGUAGUUAUUUAUGCCAUGUCCGGGCUUUUUCGUGCUUUCGAGCCGGGCUUCGGGCGAAAAAGCUAAGCCCAAGCCCGGCCCGGUGUCAGCUUUCGGGCCAGGCUGUCCGGGCCGGGCUAUCCAUGCCAGGGUCUAGUUGCACGUAAUGGAGUUCCUUAACCGAACAACUAGCAAGAUUACAUGUUUCAUUGAUAUAGGGAAAGUAUCUGAUGCACUAGGGCUUGCGAUGCACUUUUUUGGUAGUAUUUUGUCUAUUCAAGGAGUAUCAGUUUGAAAUUUUGUGACUCGUUAGAUGCGAGUUUCCUGCUGUCUAGAAUUUGCUCUCUUUUUUCAUUCUUCACAAUUCUCCUGUCCCCUUUCUUCUUUUUCUCUUGCGGGGAGACUGACAUAAAUCAACUCAUUGCGGUCCGUUGUUUUUCCUCUUCAAAGUCACAACAAAGUCAUCCCGCAAAAAAAAAAAGUCACAACAAAGUCGCCGUACUAAAUGGGACGAUGUGACUGGUAUUUAUCUCAAACCUUGCGAGGAGGGAGACGAGUCAAGGCGAUGGAGCUAGCAAGUAGCAAGCCGGACCAGGUCACUGCUCCGUCACCGUCAGAUCAGACAUCAGUCCAUGGCGCACAGGAGCCGGCCAAGAAGUUCAGGUCAAGACUGACGUCAAAACACGUCGUCGUCGUUAUCUUUUUCUUCGUGACGUGGCAAUCAAUGCGGUGUUUCGAGCCGAAAGCGAUGCGUUUUUUUCUUCUUCCAGGUGUUAGCGAUGCGUUUGCUGGCGAGGGCCUUGUUCUUGCAUUUCGUUAUGUCCGUCCGAGCCCAGCAAGCAUGCUUAUGGGCAUUUUUCGCGUCCCGCGACGAAAAGGCCCGUGGGCUUAUUUCGAAACCGUCGCAGAGAGCUGAGAUAAGAGGGAGGAUUAACUGGCCUCUAAAUACCAUAAAGAAAAAAAAAUCUGGCCUCUAAAAUAGUGGGGGCAAUGGAAGUUGGAACGGAAUGUUUUCCAUUGGGCGGCUGCUACCCAUAGACCGGAUGAUAACUUGCAGUUAUCAUCCGCCUUAUCUGCCGUUCGAUAUGCUUAAUCAAGCUCGUCAGUUUGAACCCACACAUCGCAUCAUGCUUGUCUUCACCCGCAGCAUCUUUUGCAGCGUAGACAAAAAACCGCUCCAUAACAGACGUCGUCACAACUCCGGCGAGCGGGGUUGCCGGCGGCCGCUUGCAUCAUCCAUGGCAGCAGCUCCACGGCAGCACCGUCGGCGCCCGGCGGCGCUGUGAUUGCCGACAACGCUUCAUUGCAACCCAAGUGAGCUUCAACGGGCCCCGCAGCGCGUCAUUGCAACUCCGGCGGCUAUCGGCGAUGCUUCAUUGCAACUCCGGCGCUCCCCGGCGAUGUUGCAUCACAACACCGUCGGCCGGACGAUGUUUCAUUGCAACUCCGGCGCUCUCCGGCGAUGUUGCAUCACAACACCGGCGGCCGGAUGAUGCUUCAUUGCAACUACGGCGCUCCUGGCGAUGUUGAACUACAGCACCGGCGGUCCCCAGCGAUGCUUCAUAGAAAAUCCGGCGGCCCCCAACUGCAGCAUCCCGCCACUUGCUUGAAGCACAGCAGAGCGCCGGCGGCCCGAUGUUGCGCAACUCCUCUCCUCAGCCUCCCCGAUGCAGCAUGUGCGCCGAGUGGCGACCGCCUCGCGACACCGUCGUCGUCUACAGCUCCGGUGGCUGCUACCACGCAGCCCUGCGGGAUCUCGCGUCGCCGCCCACACCAUGCGCACCAUCGCCCGCCUCGCAGCAACGGCUUGUCGUCGAACGACAACCAUCACGGCGCAGCGACGCCCCUUAUAGCAGCAGCAGCUCCGCCCGCCGUCGGCAAACAUCGACGGAUGCUGCGUCGAGAGUGUUUCAUCACAACGUCGAUGUGCUGUGUCUCAACAUGGCCGCCAGCCGCAUCGCGUCAGCAGCGGUGGUGCUUGGCGGUGCGGCCUUGUGCAUGGCAGCAACCGUGCGGCGGUGCUGUGAUAUGAGAGAAAAGAGAAGGAAAAAUGAGCCUUCGGUCUGCUGAGAAGAAGAAAGGGCGACAAGAUAAGAUUGGAGUGGUGGAGAGGAUAGGUACGUGGGUGGUCCCAUGGGAAGCGUGGCCAACGGAGGAGGCGGUUUAUGCGACGCGAAAGAUCAGCCGGGUGAUUUAAAACAUUUCCCUUUCCAUUGCUGGGAGAAUCGUCCAAAGCAGUCUGUUUCUUGUGAUUCUCAAAAAAGAAAAAGCAGUCUGUUUCUUGUGAUUCUCAAAAAAAAAAAAAAGCAGUCUGUUUCUUGUUAGAGCAGCAAAGUAUCAUCGGUUCUCACCUUUUCCCAUUUUGUCUCUCUCUAAGAAAUGUCUUUAUUUCGGCUCAAAAAAAGGAAAUACUUUUUUUCGAACUUCAAAUUCUCCCUGUCCUAGUUCAUUCAGAAAAGAAAAAGAAUCAUUCCCAUUCCCAUGGUCACAAGUAGAAGAAUGCUGGGUAGGUUUACCUCUUUGUCUAGGUUACAGAAGAUCUUCAACGGGAUUAAAGCUCCAACCGUCCCUGUCGCUGUUGAGCCUUUUGACAAAUGCGGCUAAGCUUUGUGAUCGCGAGACGCUAUCAGUCUACCCUGGCGGUCUCUUUUUGUACCAACAUCCACAUCACUUGCGUUCGGAUGGAAUUCUUUUCUUCCAGUGUCUUAGUUACCUACGCCUCCCAAGAACACAUUGGCCUCUCAACUUUGUCCAUCCUACAGAACUGCUCACACCUACCAGUUCACUCAAAAGUUUUAAGACAAGAAACAAAAUGCAGACAACAUAUCCAGCACAAACAUGACGACUGGAUUAAUAUCUGACAUGACAGAUCACAAAACAAGACCAUACAUUUUCACAACACUCCCUCUUGCUUCAUUUCGCCGGAGUUCAGACGGUUCAAACCCCACGCCACAAGAACAGUUCACUCAAGAAACACAGAAAGAAGAAAAGAGAAACAGAUGGUUCCGGAACCCCCCUUAUGUACAUUGUCAAACUACGCUCUCUUAUUCACUCCCAUCAGUCCUAAUCAGCCACCGUUACUUGUUCCAUCUUCCACCAGCGGCAUCGGUCAC
rnacentral:lncRNA from 1 species